UUAUAAAAAAUUUUAUUGAUUUCCAUGAAAUCAAUAAACAAGUUCCUCAAUGGUCAUACAAAUUAACAAGUGAAUUGGAAGAAUUGGAAGCUGAAACUGAAGAAAAUAUACCAACCGAACCUGGAAUUCGUUCAAGAAAAGCAAAACGUGUAGUGGUUUUUACUGAUUUAAAAGAACCGCAUAACGAGAUUUAUACUAAUCUCAAAGAUAAUCAAAAUUCUGAUCAAACAGAUGAAAUGGCUUUGAUCCGUUAUUCACAACAAUCUGAUUUUCGUCGAGAGAUAAUUAAAGGAUCCAUGCGUUCCCAAAGGCGUAAAACUGUUAUUUGGGAAUUGUUGCAAGCAAAAGCACAUUCGCCCCUUUUUUUUGAUAGAAUAGAUAAAAAUUUUUUUUUUUCGUUUGAUAUAUGGGGGCUAAAAAAAAAAAUUCUUAGAAAUUUCAUGUGGAAAAAAAAAUUUUUUUUGAUAAAAACGAAGAAGAACAAUCAAAAAAGAAGAACAAAGACGUAUAGAAAUUGCGGAAACUUGGGAUAGCUUCUUAUUUGCUCAAAUAAUAAGAGGUUUUAUUUUAGUAACUCAAUCUAUUCUUAGAAAAUAUAUUAUAUUACCUUUAUUGAUAAUAAUUAAAAAUAGCAUCCGUAUCGUAUUAUUUCAACUUCCCGAGUGGGAAGAGGAUUUAAAGGAGUGGAAACGUGAAAUGCAUGUUAAAUGUACUUAUAAUGGGGUUCAACUAUCCGAAACAGAAUUUCCACGAAACUGGUUAACGGAUGGUAUUCAGAUAAAAAUCCUAUUUCCGUUUUAUCUUAAACCUUGGCAUAAAUAUAAAUUUCAAUCAUCUCAGAAGGCUCGACUAAAAAAAACAAAAGGAAGAAAAAAAUGAUUUUCGUUUUUUAACAGUUUGGGGGCUGGAAACUGACCUACCUUUUGGUUCUACCAAACCAAAGCCUUCUUUUUUAAACCUAUUUUUAAAGAAUUAAAAAAAAGAAUCAAAAAAUCCAAAACGAAGUCUUUUCCGGUUUUAAGGAUUUUCAAAGAAAGAGCAACAAUUUUCCUAAAAGUCCAAAAAGAAAUUAAAAACUGGAUUAUAAAAAACUUGCUUUUUCUAAAAGAAAAAAAAAAAAACCUUUCAAAACGAAAUAGAAUUCCAUUAGUUGGCCCGAGAGAAAUAUAUGAAUUAAAUGAAACUAAAAAAGAUUCAAUAAUGAGUAAUCAGAUGAUUCAUGAACUAUCUGUUCAAAAAAAAUCGACGGAGUGGCCAAAUUCUUCACUCAGCGAAAACAAAAUAAAAAAUGUGAUUGAUAAAAUAAAGACAAUCAGAAAUCAAACGAAAAAAAUUUCAAAAGAAAAAGAAAAACUAACUAAUAGUUGUAACAAACUGUGUUAUGAUUCUAAAAUAAUUGAGUCAUCAAAAAAAAGUUGGCAGACAUUAAAAAAAAAAAAAACUCGAUUAAUUCGUAAAUCUUUUUUUUUUUUAAAUUUUGCGUUGAACAACUGUCUAUUUCUAUUUUUCUAGGUAUUAUUAAUAUUCCAAGAAUUACUACACAACUUUUUGUUGAUUCAACAAAAAAAAUUCUUGAUGUAUAUAUUUACAAGAAUGAGGAAAAUGGAGAAAAAAAAAUAAAAAAAAAUACCAUUUAUUUUAUUUCGACUAUAAAAAAUUUCAUAUCAAAAAAAAAUUUUUUUAGUUAUGACUUAUGCUCUUUAUCACAAGCAUAUGUAUUUUACAAAUUAUCACAAAUUCAAGUUAGUAACUUUUUCUAAAUUAAAGUCUUUUUUUGAAUAUAACAUAUACAUAACAUCCUUUUUUGUUAAGAAUCAAAUAAAAGAUUUUUUUCAAGAACAAGGAAUCUUUCAUUAUGAAUGGAAAGAUAAAACCCUUUUAAAUUCCGAAAUAAAUCAAUGGAAAAACUGGUUACGAAGUCAUUCUCAAUAUAAUUUACCUCAGAUUGCAUGGGCUAGAUUAGUAACCCAAAAAUGGAAAAAAAAAAUAAACCAAGACUCUCUAGUUCUAAAUCCAAGUUUAAACAAAGUGGAUUCAUACGAAAAAAAAAUUUUUGAUAAUUACAAAAAACAAAAUUUUUGUGAGGCUAACUUAUUUUUCAAUCCAAAACAUAAACAGAAUUUCAAAAAGGAUUCUAUAUAUAAUCUUUUUUGCUACAAAUCUAUUCAUUCUACAGAAAAAUUUUUUUGAUAUGUCUACAGGCCUAGAAAAUUUUUUAAUCUCUUGUUUUCUAGAAAAAUAUAAUAUUCGGAGUAUAGGGGAAAUUUUGCAUAGAAAAUAUUUGGAUUGGAGAAUUCUCAACUUUUGGUUUAGAAAAAAAGUAUAUUGAGCUUGAUACUAGGAGUAAAAAAGAAUAUAUUAAGACUAAAGUUAAGAAUUNNNNNNNNNNNNNNNNNNNNNNNNNNNNNNNNNNNNNNNNNNNNNNNNNNNNNNNNNNNNNNNNNNNNNNNNNNNNNNNNNNNNNNNNNNNNNNNNNNNNUACUGCAAGUGAUUUGACGGCAGAAGAGAGCUUUUCUAGACCUAGUUUUGUUACAAGUUUCAUUUGGGAGAGAAGAUCACUUGUGAUUGGAACUCCUUGUUCUAUUUCUUUUCAUCUAUUCUAUGAGUUUCCAUUUAUCUAUUGAUAUGAAUUGCUUUGCUAUGUCUGAGUAGUUCAACUGUUAGAUCCAGGGUUCAGAUAGGUUUGUGGGAUUAGCCCAAACUAUAGAUCUGCCUUGUUUUGAUAUUCAUGAUAGAUUUGUAUUCAUUGCUUGUUUUAGCCUUGCUAACUAGAACUUGAUCAUAGGAUUGCAUAUUAAAGCACCCUUGUUAUCCAUCCUGAAAUCUAUCUAUCAAUUAGGAUUGCUAGAGAGGGCUAACCGCCAAUUUAGAAUCUUAGUAGGGCAUUUCAUACUCGCGCAUAGGCCUGGUUAGAACCCGUCGAUCGAUGUCCUCAACUGACAAUCGAUCGAUGUUGGCAAAGGUGUAUCGGUCGACGUCUUAAUAGACAAUCGAUCGACACUCUUUGUGUCUGAAUCUAACCGGUGAGGAACACAGGAUCUAGUCUGUUAACCCGUGGUAACAUGCGGGGACAGCUGAUCACUGAGUUAAGCGAAUGAGCUCUAAUAUAUCAUGCAUUGCAACAGUUAGGCUUCUAUAGGUAUUAUAAUCUCCAACCCUGAAUAGUGGCCCUGCAUCUAAAUAUCACUUCCAACCAAAGUUACAUUUAUUAUUUACUCGCUUGUUACGAUUGCUAUUUCAUUUAAACAUUUGUAACCCUUAGAAUUAAUAAACACUAGAUUUAAUUGUUCCCUAACUCCUUGUGGAUUCGAUCCCUAAGUACUACCUCUGAACCUCUUUUGAUGAGAGUAACACUCCUUAGGAUAAUUUGAGUGGUAUCAAAUUUGGCGUCGUUGCCGGGGAGCUUUGAUCGCCAUUAGAUUUAGUUUUAUUAAUUCUCUUUUUUUUUUUACCCCUUUUCUAAUAAUCUUUUUCUUGUCUUUUCAGGUGCAUGCCCAUCGGUACCAGAAGCAACAAGGAGAAAGACUUGCUGUUCUCAGACGAUCCUGCUCAUUUGGAACGCACCAUCCGUAGAGGUCAACGUUCCACAUCGCUCGAACAAAUUCGUCGUCGAUCGAUACGCACAAUCAACCGUCGACCGACACCAGACAGUCAUCGUCGAUCGGUCUUAGUUGUUCGACAACGAUCAAUACUACACCGCGUACGACGAUCGAUACCGUGUCGUCAAAAAUGGUAAACAUUAUUAUUCUAACUCAGGAUGAGAACGGAAACCUGUAUGACCAGGCCGGUCAUCUGCGUAAUACAACAGGUCAGAAAAUAGAUGCUCAGGGAACUGUAAUCCCUGAUGCUGAUGCUACAGGAGCUGCUCAAACUGUAGAUGAGGACGCUCGAUCAAAACCACUGGCCGACUACAAUCGCCCAGAUGAGUACUAUUCCAACAGAUCAGCUAUUCGACUUCCGGAGAUCCAGAAGCAGAAUUUCGAGCUGAAGCCUCAAUACUACACUCUCGUGUCGCAGAUACCCUACUCUGGGUUACCGCACGAGCAUCCUAUGGACCAUUUGGAACGGUUCGAGGAUCUAAUCGCUGCUAUUCGGAUGGAAGGAGUCCUCGAAGAUUACUUGCUGUGCAAGCUCUUCAGAUACACGCUGAAUGGAGAAGCGAUGCACUAGCUUAGGCAGCAACCCACCGGAUCUUUAACAUCCUGGAGCGACAUCAAGAAUGCUUUCCUACGAAACUUCUUCGAUGAGGUGCGCGCUGAAGAACUUCGGAACAAAAUUUCCACAUUCUCGCAGAAGGCUGGAGAGUCCUUCAAAGAUGCGUGGAUUAGAUUUAGGUUCUUCCAGCGAGACUGUCCACGCCACAGAUUUAACAAAAUGCAGCUGCUAAGCACUUUCUUCCGAGGUCUCGCCUUACAGUAUCAAAUGGCCCUUGAUAUGGCGAGUGAAUGAAACUUCACUACUCGGAAUCCGUUGGAAGCCGUGAGACUUAUCGAAAACCUUGCUAACAGCAGCAGCACCAAAAACACUGACUCUGAACGGAAGAAGUCUGUAGCCUCUAUCGGGAAGGAACAGAUGGACAAGAGUAAGAGCUAAUGUUAGAUGUGGUGCACGAACUUCUUAGGAAGCAAGUCUGUUCAGCUGAAGGAGAAAGUAGCAGAUUGGAAGGAGAAGAAGAUGUGAACUACAUCGGAGGAAACCGGAUUCCAAAAAUUUGGAAACCAGGGCGGAAACAGAAACUUCUUUGGAAAUGGCCAAAGAAGUAACCUAAGUUCACAAUUUCAAAAACCCUUCAACAACAGCAAGAGCUACUCGAACUCUUACUAUCAAAAUCCACCACCCCAGACUCAGGAAAGCAAGAUAGAAGAAAUGGUUGAUCGAGUACUGUUGGGACAACAACAAAUCACUGUGGAUUUCAGCGGUAAGAUAGACUCCGCCUACAACAAUCUGAACACCAAAAUCGAGACCUUAGGGACUCAGGUGAGAAAACUUGAAACCCAAGUAAUUCAGACGGGCGAGACUAUAAAGAGGCAAGAAGCUUUCGCUAGAGAGGCAGGAGCCGACAAAGGAAAACACCACGUAAAUGCCAUCAUAGAUGAUGAUUUCUGGCAAGAGGUGAGAAAGGAAAAGCUUGAGGCAGGAGAUUUCAAAAUCGAAAGCUCCAUGAGUCUCGGCGGAUCCCAAUGGUGUCGACCGAUGUCGAUGAACUCGCAUCGAUCGACAGACCAUGAUGAAGAUCGAUGGACGGAUUACUCCAGUCAUCGAUCGACGUCGUCUGCCAAAUCGACUGAAUGCAAUGCGGUUCGAAUUCUAACUCAUGAAGAAUUCGCAGCUAAGCAUCCUCACCCACCCUCCCCUUUCUAUGACAAAAUCGAUCGAUCGGUUGAGCCAACCAUCGAUCGACAGAGUGAGUCCGACGUCGAUCGUCAAAACACACCUCCCAUCAAUCGACAGGCACCUCUGACAUACCGAGUGCGGUUACCAUCAAUCGAUAAUGAUUACAUCAAUGCACUCAGACCACCACCUAAACCAUUAGCAAACCCACCGAACUAAAACCCAACCCUUGAAAUAGUUCACCAGAAUUUGUUCAAGUAGAACAAGAAUCUGAAGGGAGAAGGUUAAGGAAAAGAAAGGAGAAGAUUCCUAAAAACCUUAAGAGGGAAGCUAACGAUAAGGAGAUAGAUGGUUUCACUAAACGAGUCCUCAGAAUCCCAAUCGAAAAACCUUUUGAUGAAGCUUACUUCACACAACGGUUGUGGAUGUUCUUCAGAGAAACAAAGGUAACCGAGGAGGACAUUAGGAGAAUGUUUCAUCAAGUCAGAGAGAAGAUGAAACACAGGAUCACAUUGACCAAUCCUGGGAAGUUUGCAAUACAAUGCGUAGUCAAGGGUGUUGAAUUUCCCCAUUCAAUGUGUGACACAGGAGCAUCAGUUAGUAUCCUCCCUAGGAUCAUGGCAGACAAGCUUGGUUUGACCAUCGAACCCUCAACGGAAUCCUUCGUGGAUCUUUCAGAGAAACGAUCAGGAGGUAUCAUAAGAGAUAAGGAGGUACAGAUUGGUAAUGCCCUUGUCCCUGUAGAUUUUCAUGUCUUAGACAUCGAGCUUAACUGAAACUCUUCACUUCUGCUUGGAAGAUCUUUCCUAGCUACAGUAGGAGCUAUAUGUGACAUGAACAAAAGCAAAUUGUGUCUAACGCUCAUAGACCCAAACAUCCACUACGACCCCAUCCGACCUAAGAGAAAGGUCAUUAAUUCUGUGGAUUAUGGGAAAGAACUUGGCUUCAUUGGCGCAUGCCAUUGUGGAGCAGAGUAUGAAUCGGAGUACGAAACAGAGUACUCGGAAUCGAUCGACACCCCAACCUUUCCAUCGAUCGAUUCAAAUGAGUCAACGGUGACCGAUGACCGCAACAACACGUCACUCGACGUAAUGCACCCAAUUGACCAUUUCGCUUCACCUAAUCAUUGUUACCAAAAUUUUGCCUUCCAACCUCCAAGCAAGAGAGGACAUGAUGAUUAUUCCAUAGGCAGUUGGGCAGACAGUGGUUUCCAUGAAAGUUUCGCAGUUGAAACUGUAAUUACUUCACCUAAUGAGGAACAUACCGAGGAAUACGAUGAGGAUUACUAGAAAGAACGUGCAAUAGAAAUGUCUUUGCAAGAUGAAAGACUUGAAACACAUAAGUUCACCAACACGUUUCCAACAUCGUUUGACGCUGUGCACUCCAAAUCGGUCGAUACCCAACCUCGUCUAGCAAAACAACCGCUCACAUCGAUCGACACCAAAGGAACAUCGAUUGAUAUUCGCGCCGCAGCGAAAAUUCAGGAGCAGGAGAAUAUUCCCUCCCCAACUAGGUUUAUAGAUACCUAUAUAAAUCGUUUUGCACCUCCGAAACCACCUACACACAUCAGAGCAAACACACAAGCAAACAAGAUGAACACUCUUCCUCCUACAUCAACAGAAAAAUCCAUGAAGAUCAAUCAUGUCAAGAACACAAGUUCUGCAGAAAUAAUUCUGCCAUCGAUCGAUGUAAGUGUAUCUACAUCGAUCGAUACUACUCUAAACCCUAAUCUCUCUAUUUCUAAAAUGAAUGAUUAUGCAAACAUUGAUUACGGUUUUCUACAACCUGAUGAAUUUGGUAUUUUUAGGGACCUAGAUGGCAACGCAUGUGCAAUGGAUGGGAGGAUUUUACAAGUGUCCAGAGAGGACAUAGCAGACAUCCUUCAAGUAGCCAAUGGACCUGACAACCUAUUCUCACAACAACGUGGCACUCCAGACGUCAUUAAAACAGAUCCUAACAACCACGCAGGAGUCGCCACAACAGAGAUCAACCCAGAUCUAUCACGCCUACAAAAAGGGCAAGCAUCGAUCGACGGUAGAAUGGAGAAAUCGAUCGACAGGGUAACACCAACGUCGAUCGAUAUAGAUGAAACGAUGGGAACCGCGCUUUCGACAUGUAUGGAGCCAGAAAGUUCACUUGGAACAAAGGGACGAGUAUGGAGUCUACAGAGAUGAGCGUGGACAUGAACGAGGCGCAGCUGGUGAGAUGAUACCUGUCACAAAGGACAACACCAGGAAAAUACUGGAAAGAGCAUCUCUUUUUGAAGAGAGCCACAUCUGUCUUCCAGAACAUCCCACUUCCUUCACACUCACAAGACUGGCACCAGAACUCUACACCAAAGAUGAAAUCGAUGAGAUGGUGUUUGGUAUUUGUGGAGCUCAGGAGAAACUGGGAGAGGAGCUCAAAACAUUGGUAGAAGACACACAUCAGCCUUUGGAUAGAGGCUACAAUGAGCUUUUUAGAUGUAUGGCAGAGAUGAGGACAAAAAUUGAGAGUUUACGUCAGCAACUUGAGAAGAAAGCUACGACCUCAGCAUCAAUCGACGCACCAUAUGCAACAUCGAUCGACGUCAGUCUUCCUACAGCUCAGAUCCCUGCAGAACCGCAAUGUUCAACACAACACAGGGAUGAAUGGGAAGUCUCAUACAUCAACACGAGGAUAAACGAAGUUUACUGCCCUCUCAACAACAACGUGGACUGGCUAAGCACUAAAAUCGAGCUACUACAGCAAGAUCUGGACACCAUUCGCAAGAAGGACUAACAACCAGCCACAUCGAUCGACAGGCGAAGAGGACCCUGGAUCGAUGGAAAGAAACCUGUGGAGUUACUUCCUUACACAGCAGCAGGGGUUGACAAGAUCACAUCCAAGAUCUACACUGCUCUAGACACCAUGGAGGAACGACUUGACAAACGCUGCGAUGACAUCUACUUUCCAUUCGACAACAAAAUCAGUGGACUAUACAACCACGCAGAAUGGCUACAGAAAGAAGUCAAAGCCAUUCAGAGGCAACUCGCAGCUGAACAUCAGAUAUCAGCAUCGAUCGACAGGACAAUAGCAAAAUCGAUCGACGGCAACUCGCCGAGAUCGACCAACAAACACAUAAUCGCAUCGAUCGACACCGAGUCUACACCAAUCGGCGAGCAGCUGAUACACAAGACGGUAGAGUCAAUGCAAAUGGAACUGACAGAUCUUUCAGCAUACGCCUAUGACAACAUAGGCUGGCACCAGGUCAGCAUUGACAACGUUCAAGAAAGGCUACAGAACAUCUCCAAUGUACUUGAGAAGAUGGAUGACAAAUGGACAAGAAAUGAUGAGGCCACAAGAAGUUUCAUUGCAUCUUGGUCCAGAAUGCGCAGAGAUGACGUGGAUGCUUGCUUUCCAACAAGCAGCUGCUUCUCCACCCAAUAGCCAAUCACUACUGUAACACCCCAAAACCAGCCCAUUUAAAAUUUUUCGAUCAAGAUGGCUUUGUGUAGCAUCUGUUCCACACUUCCAUACUCUUGAAGCUCCAUACAAUCUUGGAUGUCACGGUUGAGGCCUGAAAGAAAGCGAGCCAUAGUGGCGUCCAAAGGUUCAUCCGUGUCCGUUUUGGUCAUCAAGACUUCCAUCUCUUGGUAAUAGUCUUCCACAGAUUUGGUUCCUUGAAGCAAACGUCUUAGCUUCUGGUGGAGGUCGCGGUGAUAAUGGGCUGGCACGAAUCGUUUCCUCAUCAACAAGGUUAGCUCAUCCCAUGUCUCAAUCGGCCGUUCACCUGUUCUCCUCCUGUGGGUCAACACUUGAUCAUACCCGUUAAUAGCAUAGCCUGAGAAUUCAGUGGCAGCAAGCCUUACUUUUCUAAGUUCAGAAUAGUUUUGACAAUCAAAGACAUGCUCAAUUUUUCUUUCCCACUCAAGAAAAGCAUCAGGGUCGUUUUUACCAUCAAAAGGCGGAAUUUUUAAUUUCAAUCCGUUCAAGCUAUCAUCAGUACGAUUGUUUCUAGCAAAUGGAUUGACAUCACCUGGGUUUCGAGUUCUAUGACCUCUUCUUGGCAGGUAAGCGGAUCUGACCUCGUCCUCUUGGGCGUCCUCAUCAGGAAACUCAUCAUCUGACCGGGUGUUCCUUCUCGGUUGAUUGGUUCUUGUUCCCGAUCUAGGAUGGGACUGGCUUACUUGAAGUUCGUCAAGCCUUUGAUGGAUCUGCUCUAAACCUGUGUUUAUAAGGUUAGAAAAAGAAUCAAUUAAAGCUCGCAUCUGAAGAUUAGACAGUCCAGCAACUGAAUUUCCGGCACGGUUUUGAUCUUCGUGGCUACUCAUGGUUCCUGAAAUUUCUUAAACACAAAACGUUAGGAUAAAAACUCACACUCUCAAGUGUUUGUUCCUCACCCACACACGUGUUUCUCUCGAUUUAAAAGUGAUCACCCAAGUUUCCACUCAAAGUUCUAUGAAGAACAGAUCUCGGAAUCUGGAUGGCCAAACUUAAGCAAAACACAUGGGAAUUUUAAAAAAGAGAAAGAUAAGAGAUUUGUUUUUAAAAAGAAUCCGUUUUAACCUCCUCAAAGGCUGGAUUUCUCCUCAGCCAGCAGGCUUCCUCCUCCACCACCAAUCCACAAAGUAAACUCUUUUUUUUUUUAAAUACGGAUCUUGCUUGUUUCUUUGCUUUUUUUAUUUUUUAUAAGUGGAUGGUAAUGAGGGGCCCGGAUUCAAGAUAGACAGAUGAAGAAGUGUUUAGAAGAAAUGGAAGAUGAGAAGAUGGAUCGAGAUAGAGAAUACCAGACGAGUGGCUCUGAUACCACUUAAAGGACCCUAAGAUCGGAUUGCCCUCGACUGGAUUCGUUUAGGAUAUGAACUCCGGGAAGGAGAACUGGUGGAUCGUUGGGUCGCACAAGGGUUGCGGAUGUUCCCUUGAUAUUCCCGGCUUCAAUGACGCUUGAUAUGACUAACAAGUCCGCCAAGGAAGAUCUUGAACUGGUUGCUUGAUAUGACUCACAAGACCAACUAGUUGAGAAGUGAAUUGCUCGGAUAUGACUCACCAAGACAAUCGAAAACAAGUUUUAAAGAGAACAGAGAGUUUAAACUCAGAAACUUAAUCCAAAAUGAUCUGAUUUUAUUAAUGAGAAAGGACACUUAUUUAUAGUACAAGUAGAAGACAAAGAGACUACUUGACUAGAAGUUUGGAAGACAAAGAAAAUUAAAGACAAUUGACUAGAAUUUUGAGAGACAUAAGAAAAGACUCUUCAAUUUGCGGACUGGUCAAAGUGGCCCUUCAGCUGGCUUGUGUCUGACUGGCUGAACCACGGUAAGGAGCUGUACGGUCGCGGGCCGGUCCGUCUGUUCCGACUUGUCCGUCUCCUGAACCAUCUUCGACCACAAUCGUCCUAAGUCUUCUGAAAGAUGAAGAAUCUGUGCCUUAGAGAGAUUCGGAUGAUCAAAGUGCAUGAACUUAUCAAAUGGAUCGAUCAGUUCGUCAAUACGGUUGGUAUGUUCCAAACGAGCGAGAAGAGAGAAGUCGCGGCCAGUUCCUUGUCCUGCUCGGCCUAAGUUGCUUCUGGCUUGACCGUUAGUCUGAGAUUGGCGAGUUGUCCGGGAGAGAGACGAUCCGGUAGGGGCAAUUCAGUUGAUAGAUCGAGCAUCCAGUCUAAGCUCCUUUCCAUCCAUUCGUGGAUCGAUCCGGUACACAGCUUGGCUAUGCUGAUCGGUUCGGCUGGGAUGAUGAACCUCGGUUGGAAUGUCCUGAUCUUCCUGAUGGUCGGGUUCCUCGGACUGAGGCACAUCACAGGACGUCCGUGGCUGUCCAUCAGUACACAUAUCAGCACGUUGGUCCUUGGACUCAGCACGCUGGCCCUUCCUGUGGACUGUUUGGGUGAAUUUGGCCCACGUGGGCAGUCUGUUCAGUACAUACAGGACGUCCGUGGGUUUCCGCCAGAACACACAUGACGUCUGUGGCUGUCCGUGUGUGUCCGGGUGUAUCCGUCUGUGUCCGUCAGCACACAUAGGACGUCCGUGGCUGUCCAUCAGUACACAUAUCACCACGUUGGUCCUUGGACUAAGCACGCUGGCCCUUCCUGUGGACUGUUUGGGUGAUUUUGGCCCACGUGGGCUGUCUGUUCAGUCCAUGGGUGUCCGCCAGCACCCACAGGACGUCCAUGGAUGUCUGUGGCUUUCCAUCAGCACACACAAGACGUUUGUGGCUGUCCGUGUGUGUCCGUGUGUGUCCGUGUGUGUCCGUCAGCACACACAGGACGUCUGUGGGUGUCCGUCAGCACACACAGGACGUUUGUGUGUGUCCGUAAGCACAUACAGGACGUCUGUGGCUGUCUGUGUGUGUCCGUCAGCACACACAGGACGUCUGAGCUGUCCAUCAGUACACAUAUCAGCACGUUGGUCCUUGGACUAACCACGCUGGCCCUUCCCGUGGACUGUUUGGGUAAUUUUGGCCCACGUGGGCGGUUUGUUCAGUACACACAGGACGUCUGUGGGUGUCUACCAGCACACAUAGGACGUCCUUGGCUGUCUGUGGCUAUCCGUCAGCACACACAGGAUGUAUGUGGCUGUCCGUGUGUAUCCUUGUGUGUCUGUGUGUGUCCGUCAACACGCAGAAGAUGUCCAUGGCUGUCCAUCAGUACACAUAUCACCACGCGGGUCCUUGGACUCAGCACGCUGGCCCUUCCCGUGGACUGUUCGGGUGAUUUUUGUCCACGUGGGCUGUCUGUUCAGUACACAAAGGACGUCCGUGGGUGUCCGUCAGCACACACAGGACGUCCGUGGCUGACUGUCAGCACACAUAGGACUUCAGUGGCUGUUGGUGUGUAUCCGUGUGUGUCCGUCAGCACACACAGGACAUCUGUGGCUGUCCAUCAGUACACAUAUCAGCACGCUGGGUCUUGGACUCAGCACGCUGGCCCUUCCCGUGGACUGUUCGAGUGAUUUUUGCCCACGUGGGCUGUCUGUUCAGUACACACAGGACGUCUGUGGGUGUCCGUCAGCACACACAGGACGUCCGUGGCUGUCCGUGUGUGUCCGUCAACACACACAGGACGUCCGUGGCUGUCCAUCAGUACACAUAUCAGCACGUUGGUCCUUGGACUCAGCACGCUGGCCCUCCCUGUGGACUGCUUGGGUGAAUUUGGCCCACGUGGGCUGUCUGUUCAGUACAUACAGGACGUCCGGGUGUGUCCGCAAGCACACACAUGACGUCUGGGGCUGUCCGUGUGUGUCCGUGUGUAUCCGUCUGUGUCCGUCAACACACACAGGACGUCUGUGGCUGUCCAUCAGUACACAUAUCACCACGUUGGUCCUUCGACUAAGCACGCUGGCCCUUCCCGUGGACUGUUGGGGUGAUUUUGGCCCACGUGGGCCGUCUGUUCAGUAUACACAGGACGUCCAUAGGUGUCCGCCAGCACCCACAGGACGUCCGUGGCUGUCUGUGGCUGUCUGUCAGCACACACAAGACGUCUGUGGCUGUCCGUGUGUGUUUGUGUGUGUCCGUGUGUGCCGUCAGCACACACAGGAUGUCCGUGGUUGUCCAUCAGUACACAUAUCAGCACGCUGGUUCUUGGGCUCAGCACGCUGGCCCUUCCCGUGGACUGUUCGGGUGAUUUUUGCCCACGUGGGCUGUUUGUUCAAUACACACAGGACGUCCGUGGGUGUCUGCCCGCACCCAUAGGACGUCUGUGGCUGUCCGUCAGCACACACAAGACGUAUGUGGCUGUCCGUGUGUGUCCGUGUGUGUCUGUGUGUGUCCGUCAGCAUACACAGGACGUCCGUGGGUGUCCGUCAGCACACACAGGACGUCCGUGUGUGUCCGUCAGCACACACAGGACGUAUGUGGCUGUUCGUGUGUGUCCGUCAGCACACACAGGGCGUUCGUGGCUGUCCAUCAGUACACAUAUCAGCACGCUGGCCCUCCCCGUGGACUGUUUGGGUGAUUUUGGCCCACGUGGGCUGUCUAUUCAGUACACACAGGACGUCCGUGGGUGUCCGUCAGCACACACAGAAUGUCUGUGGGUGUCCGUCAGCACUCAAAGGACGUCUCUGGGUGUCCGUCAGCACACACAGGACGUCCGUGGGUGUCCGUCAGCACACACAAGACGUCUGUGGCUGUCCAUCAGUACACAUAUCAGCACGUUGGUCCUUGGACUCAGUACGCUGACCCUUCCCGUGGACUGUUCGGGUGAUUUUGGCCCACGUGGGCUGUUUGUUCAAUACACACAGGACGUCCGUGGGUGUCUGCCCGCACCCAUAGGACGUCUGUGGCUGUCCGUCAGCACACACAAGACGUAUGUGGCUGUCCGUGUGUGUCCGUGUGUGUCUGUGUGUGUCCGUCAGCAUACACAGGACGUCCGUGGGUGUCCGUCAGCACACACAGGACGUCCGUGUGUGUCCGUCAGCACACACAGGACGUAUGUGGCUGUUCGUGUGUGUCCGUCAGCACACACAGGGCGUUCGUGGCUGUCCAUCAGUACACAUAUCAGCACGCUGGCCCUCCCCGUGGACUGUUUGGGUGAUUUUGGCCCACGUGGGCUGUCUAUUCAGUACACACAGGACGUCCGUGGGUGUCCGUCAGCACACACAGAAUGUCUGUGGGUGUCCGUCAGCACUCAAAGGACGUCUCUGGGUGUCCGUCAGCACACACAGGACGUCCGUGGGUGUCCGUCAGCACACACAGGACGUCCGUGGCUGUCCGUGCGUGUCCGUCAGCACACACAAGACGUCUGUGGCUGUCCAUCAGUACACAUAUCAGCACGUUGGUCCUUGGACUCAGUACGCUGACCCUUCCCGUGGACUGUUCGGGUGAUUUUGGCCCACGUGGGCUGUCUGUUCAGUACGCACAGGAUGUCUGUGUGUGUCCGUCAGCACACACAGGACGUUCGUGGCUGUCCGUGUGUGUUCGUGUGUGUCCGUCAGCACACACAGGACGUCUAUCGCUGUCCAUAAGUACACAUAUCAGCACGUUGGUCCUUGGACUCAGCACGCUGACUCUUCCCGUGGACUGAUUUUGGCCCACGUGGGCUGUCUGUUCAGGACACAUAGGAAGUCUGUGGGUGUCCGCCAGCACACACAGGACGUCCGUGGCUGUCCGUGUGUGUCCGUUGGUGUCCGUCAGCACACACAAGACGUAUGUGGCUGUCCAUCGGUACACAUAUCAGCACGUUGGUCCUUGAACUCAGCACGCUGGUCCUUGAACUCAGCACGCUGGCCCUUCCCUUGGACUGUUUGGGUGAUUUUGGCCCACCCGGGCUGUCUAUUCAGUACACACAGGACGUCUGUGGGUGUCCGCCAGCACACACAGGACGUCCGUGGCUGUCUGUGGCUGUCCGUCAGCACACACAGGACAUUCGUGGCUGUCCGUGUGUGUCCGUCAGAACACACAGGACCUCUGUGGCUGUCCAUCAGUAAACAUAUCAGCACGUUGGGCCUUAAACUCAGCACGCUGGCCCUUCCCGUGGACUGUUUGGGUGAUUUUGGCCCACGUGGGCAGUCUGUUCAGUACACACAUGACGUCCGUGGGUGUCCGUCAGCACACACAGGAUGUCCGUGGGUGUCCGUCAGAGCACAAAGGACAUCUGUGGGUGUCCGUCCGCACACACAUGAUGUCCGUGAGUGUCCGUCAGCACACACAGGACGUCCGUGGGUGUCCGUCAGCACACACAGGACGUCUGUGGCUCUCCGUGUGUGUCUGUGUGUGUCCGUCAGCACACACAUGACGUCUGUGGCUGUCCAUAAGUACACAUAUCAGCACGUUGGUUCUUGGACUCAGUACGCCGACCCUUCCUGUGGACUGUUGGGGUGAUUUUGGCCCACGUGGGCUGUCUGUUCAGUACGCACAGGACGUCCAUUGGUGUCCGUCAGCACACACAGGACGUCCGUGGGUGUCCGUCAGCACACAAAGGACGUCCGUGGGUGUCUGUCAGCACACACAGGACGUCUGUGGGUGUCCGUCAGCACACACAGGACGUCUGUGGCUGUCCGUGUGUGUCCGUGUGUGUCCGUGAGCACACACAGGACGUCUGUGGCUGUCCAUCAGUACACAUAUCAGCACGUUGGUCCUUGGACUCAGUACGCUGACCCUUCCCGUGGACUGUUCGGGUGAUUUUGGCCCACGUGGGCUAUCUGUUCAGUACGCACAGGAUGUCCGUGGGUGUCCGUCAGCACACACAGGACGUCCGUGUGUGUCCGUCAACACACACAGGACGUCCGUGGCUGUCCGUGUGUAUUCGUGUGUGUCCGUCAGCACACACAGGACGUCCGUGGCUGUCCAUCAGUACACAUAUCAGCAUGUUGGUCGUUGGACUCAGCACGCUGACUCUUCCCGUGGACUGGUUUUAGCCCAUGUGGGCUGUCUGUUCAGUACACAUAGGAAGUCUGUGGGUGUCCGCCAGCACACACAGGACGUCCGUGGCUGUCCGUGUGUGUCUGUGUGUGUCCGCGUGUGCUGAAAAUACCAAAUUAAUCAGGUGUUAGAAAACCGUAAUCAAUGUUUGCAUUAUCAUUUAAUUUAGAAAUAGAAAGAUUAGGGUUUAGAGUAGUAUCGAUCGAUGUAGAUACAGUUGCAUCGAUCGAUGGCAGAGUAAUUUCUGCAGAACUUGUGUUCUUGAGAUGAUUGCUCUUCAUGGAUUUUUCUGUUGAUGUAGAAGGAAGAGUGUUCAUCUGUUUUGCUUGUGUGUCUGCUCUAAUAUGUGUAGGUGGUUUCGGGGGUGCAAAAUGAUUUAUAUAGGUAUCUUUAAACCUAGUUGGGGAGGGAAUAUUCUCCUGCUCCUGAAUUUUCGCUGCGGCGCGAAUAUCGAUCGAUGUUCCAGUACGUGUGUCGAUCGAUGUGAGCAGUUGUUUUGCUGGACGAGGGUGGGUAUCGACCGAUGUGGAGUGCACAGCAUCGAACGAUGUUGGAAACGUGUUGGUGAACUUAUGUGUUUCAAGUCUUUCAUCCUGCGAACACAUUUCUAUUGCACGUUCUUUCCAAUAAUCCUCAUCGUGUUCCUCUGUAUGUCCCUCAUUAGGUGAAGUAAUUACUGUGUCAACUGCAAAACUUUCAUGGAAACCACUGUCUGCCCAACUGCCUAUGGAAUAAUCAUCAUGUCCUCUCUUGCUUGGAGGUUGGAAGGCAUAGUGUUGGUAACAAUGAUUAGGUGAACCUUCACCCUUCAGAUUCUUGUUCUUCUUGAACUGAUUCAGGUGAACUAUUUAAAGGGUUGGGUUUUGGUUCGGGUGGGUUAGCUAAUAGGUUAGGUGGUGGUCUAAGUGUGUUGAUGUAAUCAUUAUCUAUUGAGGGUAACCGCACUCGGUAUGUCAGAGGUGCCUGUCGAUCGAUGGGAGGUGUGUUGUGACGAUCGACGUCGGACUCACUCUGUCGAUCGAUGGUUGGCUCAACCGAUCGAUUGAUUUUAUCAUAGAAAGGGGAGGGUGGGUGAGGAUGCUUAGCUGUGAAUUCUUCAUGAGUUAGAAUUCGAACCGCAUUGCAUUCAGUCGAUUUGGCAGACAACGUCGAUCGAUGACUGGAGUAAUCCGUCGAUCGAUCUUCAUCAUGGUCUAUCGAUCGAUGCGAGUUCAUCGACAUCGGUCGACACCAUUGGGAUCCGCCGAGACUUAUGGAGCUUUCUAUUUUGAAGUCUCCUUCCUCAAGCUUUUCAUUUUUCACCACUUGCCAGAAAUCAUCAUCUAUGAUGGCAUAUACGUGGUGUUUCCCUUUGUCGGCUCCUGCCUCUCUAGCGAAAACUUCUUGCCUCUUUAUAGUCUCGCCUGUCUGAAUUACUUGGGUUUCAAGUUUUCUCACCUGAGUCCCUAAGGUCUCGAUUUUGGUGUUCAGAUUGUUGUAGGCGGAGUCUAUUUUACCGUUGAAAUCCACGGUGAUUUGUUGUUGUCCCAACAGUACUCGAUCAAGCAGUUCUUUGAUCUUGCUUUCCUGAGUCUGGGGUGGUGGAUCUUGGUAGUAAGAGUUCGAGUAGCUUUUGUUGUUGUUGAAGGGUUUUUGAAAUUGUGAACUUUGGUUACUUAUUUGGCCAUUUCCAAAGAAGUUUAUGUUUCCGCCCUGGUUUCCAUCUGUUCCUUCCCGAUAGAGGCUACAGACUUCUUCCGUUCAGAGUCAGUGUUUUUGGUGCUGCUGCUGUUAGCAAGAUAAGUCUCACAGCUUCUAACGGAUUCCAAGUAGUGAAGUUUCCUUCACUCGCCGUAUCAAGGGCCAUUUGAUGCUGUAAGGCGAGACCUCGGAAGAAAGUGCUUAGCAGCUGCACUUCGUUAAAUCCGUGGUGUGGACAGUCUCGCUGGAAGAACCUAAAUUUAAUCCACGCAUCUUUGAAGGACUCUCCAGCCUUCUGCGAGAAUGUGGAAAUUUUGUUCCGAAGUUCUUCAGCGCGCGCCUCAUCGAAGAAGUUUCGUAAUAAAGCAUUCUUGAUGUCGCUCCAGGAUGUUGAAGAUCCUGUGGGUUGCUGCCUAAGCCAGUGCAUCGCUUCUCCAUUCAGCGUGUAUCUGAAGAGCUUGCACAGCAGGUAAUCUUCGGGGACUCCUUCCCUCCGAAUAGCAGCGAUUAGAUCCUUGAACCGUUCCAAAUGGUCCAUAGGAUGCUCGUGCGGUAACCCAGAGUAGGGUAUCUGCGACACGAGAGUGUAGUAUUGAGGCUUCAGCUCGAAAUUCUGCUUUUGGAUCUCCAGAAGUCGAAUAGCUGAUCUGUUGGAAUAGUACUCAUCUAUGCGAUUGUAGUCGGCCAGUGGUUUCGAUUGAGCGUCCUCGUCUACAGGUUGAGCAGCUCCUGUAGUAUCAGCAUCAGGGAUUACAGUUCACUGAGCAUCUAUUUUCUGACCUGUUUCAUUACGCAGAUGACCGGCCUGGUCAUACAGGUUUCCGUUCUCGUCCUGAGUUAGAAUAAUAAUGUUUACCAUUUUUGACGACACGGUAUCGAUCGACGUACGCGGUGUAGUAUCGAUCGUUGUCGAACGAUUGAGAUCGAUCGACGAUGAUGGUCUGGUGUCGGUCAACGGUUGGUUGUGCGUAUCGAUCGACGACGAAGUUGUUGCGUCGAGCGAUGUGGAACGUUGACCUCUAUGGAUGGUGCGUUCCAAAUGAGCAGGAUCGUCUGAGAACAGCAAGUCUUUCUCCUUGUUGCUUCUGGUACCGCUGGGCAUGCACCUGAAAAGACAAGAAGAAGAUAAUUAGAAAGGGGGUAGAGAAAAGAAUAAGAAUCAAUAAAACUAAAUCUAAUGGAGAUUAAAGCUCCCCGGUAACGGCGCCAAAUUUGAUACCACUCAAAUUACCCUAAGGAGUGUUACUCUCAUCAAAAGAGGUUCAGAUGUAGUACUUAGGGAUCGAAUCCACAAGGAGCUAGGGAACAAUUUAAUCUAGUGUUUAUUAAUUAUAAAGGUUGUAAAUGUUUAAAUGAAAUAGCAAUAGUAACAAGCGAGUAAAUAAUAAAUGUAACUUGGUUGGAAAUGAUAUUAGAUGCAGGGCCACUAUUCAGGUGUUGGAGAUUAUAAUACCUAUAGAUGCCUAACUGUUGCAUGCAUGAUAUAUUAGAGCUCAUUCGCUUAACUCAGUGAUCAGCUGUCGCAUGUACCACUGGUUAACAGACUAGAUCUCGUGUCUCAACGGUUAGUAUGCAGACAACGAGAGAGUGUCGAUCGAUGGUCUAUUAAGACGUUGACCGAUACACCUUUGACAACGUCGAUCGAUAGUCAGUUGAGGACAUCGAUCGAUGGGUUCUAGCCAGGCCUAUGCGCGAGUAUGAAAUGCCCUACUAAGAUGCUAAAUUGGCGGUUAGCCCUCUCUAGCAGUCCUAAUAUGAUAGAUAGAUGUCAGGAUGGGAUAACAAGGGUGCUUGAGUAUGCAAUCCUAUGAUCAAGUUCUAGUUAGCAAGACUAAAACAAGCAAUGAAUACAAACUCGUAUUGGGCUAAUCCCACAAACCUAUCUGAACCCUGGAUCUAACAGUUGAACUACUCAGACAUAGCAAAGGUCUAGAAAAAGCUCUCUUGCCGUCAAAACACUUAGGCAGUAUAUAUUCUACUAGGUUAAAAACUCGUCAGGGCAUUUUGGUAAUUUGGCUUGGCCGUAGUUUUUAAGUCUGCUGAAUCCAAAAUGUCGCGUCUGGUGUCUCUACAUCGAUCGAUGGUACUUGUGUACAUCGAUCUAUAUUAAUCUUCAUCUGUCGAGGCAAUUCCUGAUAUCGAUCGUUAGCACUGAUGCACAUCGAUCGAUUGUUCUUCCUCUCGUCAACCUCUAAGUGGUCAGCUCAGGUGAAAUGUCCUUUAAGCUCCAAAAUGCUCCAAAAUCAUAGCUUUACUCCGAAAUGAACCUGAACCUGAAAACAUACCUAGCAGAGUAGAAAACAUAGAUAUAUAUAUAUAGUAAAAUACUUAUAUACCAUGGAUAAAAAUGGGUCAAAUCCAAGGUAUAUCAGACACGAUGGACUUCCUGUGUGUACUGAACAGACAGUCCACGUGGGCUAAAGUCACCCGAACAGUCCACGGGAAGGGCCAGCGUGCUGAGUCCAAGGACCAGCGUGCUGAUAUGUGUACUGAUAGACAGCCACAGACGUCAUGUGUGUGCUGACGGACACACACGGACCCACAUGGACAGCCACGAGCUCAGCCAAGCUCGGUCGCUACGUAGCGACCGAGCGAUCGUCCCGCUCGGUCGCUACGUAGCGACCGAGCUCGAGCCAAAGCUCGGUCACUGCGUAGCGACCGAGCGAUCGUCCCGCUCGGUCGCUACGUAGCGUCCCGCUCGGUCGCUACGUAGCGACCGAGCACUCGUCUCACUCGGUCGCUACGUAGCGACCGGGCUCGAGCCAAAGUUCGGUCGCUGUGUAGCGAUUGAACCUUUCCGAAAAUCGAUACGACACCAGUCCAUGCAUUCUCAUCAAACCUUCGAAUGCUAUCUCCCGAAGACCAUGGCAAGCUCAGUCCAUGUUUCCCGCUAUUCUAAUUCAUCGAUCAAACUUCGCGGAUUAGAAACCGCGGAAAACUUGUAGUAAACGUGUCGAGUCGGAAUACGGCCCAAAGGGACCUAAAACACGAUUUGAAGCCCAUCCUACGAUUUUCCUAACCAAAAGCCCGUAAACCACAGCAUGGUUUACGCUUGGCCCACAAGGACGGAUAAAUGUCAAGUUUCCGCGGAUAAAUACGGAAGUUUUGAAGAUAAUUGUGAAGAUCGGGAAAAAUGGAAUAUCUCCAUUUUUAUGCUAUGACGGCUUAAGGGCAGAAGAGUAAAAGCGUAAACCAACCUUGGAGCUAGUAUAUAAGGAGUCCCAGGCGAGGAGCAGAGGAGAGAACUUUUUCAGAGAAAACUUAGCACUUAGAGCAAUUUAGGCAAUUUUCCGGUUUUGUUAUUUCGAGCUGCGACUCAAUUAGGUUUAGCCGUCUUAGGGUUGCUAGAACUAGGAAUCUCGCCGACAGCUCUCGAGCCCAGGCUUAUACCUUGUUGUAACGCUCAUACCCAGAUUCGGAAUAAGAUCUACUUUGCUCUCUUUUCGAUUUCUUCUUUUUAUCGUUGUUAUUCUCGUGUUCUGAUUGCUUGACGUGUGGUAAUUAACAGAUAUCCGGGUCCUCUGGGAAACUAGGGUUUUCUUAGUUUCCUUAUUUAAACGGAAACGACAGUGUGAAUUUCGGUUCCCACACUUGUGUGUGCUGACGGACACCCACGGACGUCCUGUGUGUGCUGACGGACACCCACGGACGUCCUGUAAGUACUGAACAGACAGCCCAUGUGGACAAAAAUCACCCGAACAGUCCACGGGAAGGGCCAGCGUGCUGACUCAAAGGGCCAGCUUGCUGAUAUGUGUACUGAUGGACAGCCACGGACAUCCUGUGUGUGCUGACGGACACACACGGACACACACGGAUACCCACGGACAGCCACAGACGUCCUUUGUGUGCUGACGGACAGCCACGAAUGUAACACCCCCGAACCGUCCUAAGCAUAGGUCGACCCACCGGCCAACAAUCAAACAAGAACAUGACCGACGGACGACCCACACCAAGGGUUGGAGAUGAAAGGCCAACCGGCCAGCCAACAAUCAAACACGAACAUGACUGACCGUCCAACCCAACACCAUGGUCCGGAAGCGCUAUGUGACGGGCUAAGGACAAUCCGGUCAGAGUCACAAACUUUACUCCACGACCUAGACCAGUUCAUCCACUAACUCGUCCCGCUGCGUCAAGGCAUAAGGCUUUGCAACCCAUACCUAGAGUUAGCGUUUUCCGUUAGAUCAAGGCCUAAGGCUUUUCAACCCGUACCUCGACCUAACGUUGUGUUAGACCGGACUAGUCAAAUAUUAGAGUACUCAUGAAGCGCAUAUAAAACAAUUACUUUUAUUGAUUCAAGAAAUAUUCAUACAUUGAAUAAUUCAAGACUGGGCCCGGCCUAAUGCCAAAUCGAGUCAACAUAACACAAUUCACAAUACCGUUUACAAAAGGCAUGAAAAUCUACACCGGCGGUCCUAACGUCCAGUACCAAGCUAUCCGAUCAUCCUUACUUAAAGCGACCUGCAAAAAGGACAACGGAGUUGGAUGAGUAAUCUAGUAUUACUCAGUGAGCUGGCGGCCUCUACCCGCAACCUAGACUCUACCCAGAAACCCAAAAAUAACAAUCAAUCUAGCCCUAGCAUGCAAUAAAAGCAAAGGCUAAGCAAACCGUUACUAAGUUAGACUUGGCCUCCUGCCAUGAUAUAGCUUCAAGUAACGGGAACCUGCAUUAAAACAAGUCAACAAACAAUCCCUAGUUAACCAUAUAUACGCCUGAGUUCAAUACUCAUGUAGUGUUAGACACUUAGACUAUGCAAGUAUCAUUAAUCGAUCGACCAACAAUCAAACAAGAACAUGAUCGGCCAACCAAUGAUACCGCAUAGCUUUAAUAUCCACCACCCUUCACAAGCAAUCACUCAAACACAUACAGGCCAACGUCAGGCCUACACUAACAAAAUACACAUCAAGCCUAAUCCGGUACCUAAGCCAGACUUAGGACUUAAUGUCUGAAACCUGCAAGCAAAUCAAUCAACCACAAACACAAUAAUAACUAUGAGUAUCAUGACUCGAUCUAACUAGUAACACCGUAUAUCGGUGCUACACUGACUCGAGGGUUCCAUAACCCUCUACGACACUCUAACACAACACAACACACUACCCCGGGAAAUGGUGACUUAGUGUUCAUCCUCUCUAUCGGCAAUAUCCUAUCUUCCUACCACAAAGGCCAGAAGAAGGAACUUUCAACCGACCGCGGCCCACAGUCCUUCGGGUCACCGCGCGACAGCCCACAGUCCUUCGGGUCACUGCCACAUUACACCGUCGUGUAAUCACUCAGCCACAGGCCAUGAUCCCGUCUCUCUGACUCUUCCCGAUCCAGCGAAUAAGGGGUUUCCUUAAACCCGCUGGGUACGAGGCUGAGGAAAAACUAAUCACCCCUAAACAAGCCUAGUAUGGACGAGUUAUGCUCAUACUGUCGGCACACUCACAUAACACAAACUCAAUCUAGAACCUAACGUAAUGAUAAAGUUCUAGACACUAACCAGACACUCGACUCUACAACACAAACCAAUAGUACCAGUAGUCCGGCCUAUAUGGCCUAAGACCCUGAGUACUAAUAACUAAACAAUAAUAUUGAUACUAAACAACUCAAUCAAACCGUUACCCAGAUAGUCCAGCUUCCCGCUGAGAAACUAUCUUUAAAGAUAACGGGAACCUGCACUCAACCAUAUCAACACGCAAGAAUAGAAAACAUGAUGCAUCCUAUUCUUAGUCCUAAUCAGGUUAUCAACUCAGUCUCAAUUCCAUUCAUCUCAUCUUAGCCCUUGCUAAACUGAGUCCGGUUCCAUGAAUAAAAUAACCCUAAGGACUCUACCAUUCAAUAGUGUGAUCAUUCUACUCUAUAUGCGACUCGAUCUAUCCUAAAUUCCAAGUGGAAUUCAAACAAACCAACUCACAGUGUUCUUGCAGCUGGUUGAUCGGAGAGAGCCUAGCCAAAACCCAAUGCCUCUGUCUUCAAUGGACUGGUAUGGACGAAUCAGGACUUGGACAGAACCUCCUCGGACUUCUGGAUCUUCUUCUCGGACUUUCGGUAGAACAAUGGCUCUUAAAAAUGCUCUAACUUCUUCAAAUUAGCUCCAAAUCCUUCACUUCCUUUUUCUACUUCACUUUCUCUCUCUAGCCCAAGUUUUAGAGUGAUGUUUGAGUGUGUGGAAUGAAUGAAACGAGCUGGGGGAGCUGGGUUUAUAUAGAUAUGGCCAACCAUUGAAAUGGUGCCACUCCAUCGCCUGUGUGUCGUCCCGCAUGCUUCCGGUCGCAUGCGCGGCGACACACGGGCGUCCAACUGUCACCAAGCAUGACUCCUCUGCAUGCCAGAAGCCAGCACCACGUCCAGAUGUCAUUCAGCAUGGCUGGAGCUCAGGCAUCGCGACACACGGGCCUCUGGGUGUCAAGACGAUGCCAUGUCGUGCUUUGGGUGUCAUGCUGCAUGUGAGGCUUCAUCCUGCGGAGACAUGUCGUGCUACGGAGAGACUAACAUGCUUGGAUGAAGGAAAGCACGUCCUGAUCCCUCAGAUAGGGCCACCUCGAGCUUCCCGGUUGAUUUGUGCGAUUUUGGUCUUUCUGGUGAAUUUUCGUCCCGUGAUCAAUCCCGAAUAUUUUUCCGCUCCCGUUCUGAUUCUCUAAAUAUUUUUAAUAAACUCCAGAUGAAUAAUGAGAUCCUCUAAAAAUAUGUCCCGAGCCUCCGGCUUCUUCCAAUAAUUUCGAAAAACCGAAAUUAGGGUUUUCGACCAACUUCUGGUUUUCCCGUCGUGCUUGCUUCCCGUCCUACUUACUCCCGUCAUGCUUCCAAAUUAUAAUAUCUCUGAAAUAAUAUUCUGAUGAUAGAUGUGAAGUUUCGCGAAAAACUUAGUGGCUAAGAAACGUCGGGUUUCUGAAACGUCGAGCUUCUAAACCGUCGUGCUUCCAAAAAUGUGAUUCUUCCAAAAUCUUCGUCUGAUCAAUCUAAGACUCUUCUAAGAAAGGUAGAGCAGCUUAAUAUGUCUCAUGGUUCAUUCACGAUCCAUUCUUCGACCACAUCCUACUUCGAACAUCUCGGUUGGCCCGUACCGCCCGCGGUUCAAUCAUCAAGUUGAUGCUCGACCAAUCUUCUGUCUUCUCCGAAUCAUGUUAAGUUUUGUGUGAUCAAAACUCAACAUUACUCCAAAUAUGUAAUCUCCCAAAAGCUUGGCUACAGAUUCUGACUUUCCCUUGCUCGACCAUUUUAUCCCGAAGGGGGGUUAUCACAACGGACGUCCUGUGUGUGCUGGCGGACACCCACGGACAUCCUCUGUGUACUGAACAGACAGCCCACGUGGGCCAAAAUCACCCAUAUAGCCCACGGGAAGGGCCAGCGUGCUGUGUCCAAGGACCAACGUGCUGAUAUGUGUACUAAUGGACAGCCACGGACGUCCUGUGUGUGCUGACGGACACACAUGGACAGUCACGGACGUCCUGUAUGUGCUGACGGACACACACAGAUGUCUUGUGUGUGCUGAUGGACACCCACGGAUGUCAUGUGUGUGCUGACGGACACACACGGACACACACGGACAAACACGGACAGCCACAAACGUCUUGUGUGUGCUGACGGACAGCCACAGACAGCCAUGAACGUCCUGUAUGUGCUGGCAGACACCCACGGACGUCCUGUGUGUACUGAACAGACAGGCCACGUGAAAAAAAAUCACCCAAACAGUCCACGGGAAGGGCCAGCGUCCUUAGUCCAAGGACCAACGUGGUGACAUGUGUACUGAUGGACAGCCACGGACGUCCUGUGUGUGCUGACGGACACAGACGGAUACACACGGACACACACGGACAGCCACGGACGUCCUGUGUGUGCUGGCGGACACCCACGGACGUCCUGUAUGUACUGAACAGACAGCCCACGUGGGCCAAAUUCACCCAAACUGUCCACGGGAAGGGCCAGCGUGCUGAUAUGUGUACUGAUGGACAGCCACGGACGUCCUGUGUGUGUUGACGGACACAGACGGACACACACGGACAGCCACGGACGUCCUGUGUGUGCUGACGGACAGCCACUGACGUCCUGUGUGUGCUGAUGAACACCCACAGAUGUCCUGUGUGUACUGAACAGACAGCCCACGUGGGCCAAAAUCACCCAAACAGUCCAAGGGAAGAGUCAGCGUGCUGAGUCCAAGGACCAACGUACUGAUAUGUGUACUGAUGGACAGCAACAGACGUCCUGUGUGUGCUGACGGACAUUAACGGACACACACGAACAGCCACGGACGUCCUGUGUGUGCUGGCGGACACCCACAGACGUCCUCUGUGUACUGAUCAGACAGCCCACGUGGGCCAAAAUCACCCGAACAGUCCACGGGAUGAGUCAGCGUGCUGAGUCCAAGGACCAACGUGCUGAUAUGUGUACUGAUGGACAGCCACAGACGUCAUGUGUGUGCUGACGGAGACACACGAACACACACGGACAGCCACAGAUGUCCUGUGUGUGCUGACGGACACACACGGACGUCCUGUGUGUGCUGACGGACACCCAUGGACGUCUUGUGCGUACUGAACAGACAGCCCACGUGGGCCAAAAUCACCCGAACAGUCCACGGGAUACUGAGUCCAAGGACCAACGAGCUGAUAUGUGUACUGAUGGACACCCACAGACGUCAUGUGUGUGCUGACGGACACACACAGACACACACAGACAGCCAGGGACGUCCUGUGUGUGCUGACGGACACCCACGGACGUCCUGUGUGAUAACCCGCACUUUGGGAUAAAAUGGUCGAAAGAGCAAAAGUCAGAAUCCAGAGCCGAGCUUUUGGGAAUCAAAGCAAUUGAAGGAAUGUUAAGUUUUGAUCACUUAAGACUUAACAUGGAUCGAAGAAAAUAGAAGAUUGGUCGAGCAUCAACUUUGUGGUUGAGUCGCGGGCAAUACAGAUCCAUCAGGAAAUUUGAAGUACGAGAAGGUCGAAGAAUGGAUCGUGAGUGAAGCAUGAGUUGAGAUAAGCUGCUCUACCAUUGUUAGAAAUGUCUUAGAUUGAUCAGACGGCAGUUUUGGAAGAAUCACAUUUUUGAAGCACGACGGUUUAGAAGCUCGACGUUUUUGAAGAUUGACGUUUCUUCAUCGCGAAGUUUUCUCGGAAUAUCUUCGUAUCAGUAAAAUAUUAUUCUGAAGACAUUAUAAGUCGGAAGCAGGACGGGAAUUAAGCAGGACGGGAAGCAAGCACGACGGGAUUGAAGCACAACGGGAAAACCCGAAGUUGGGCGAAAACCCUAAUUUUGGUAUUAUCGAUUUUUCGAGGAAGCCGGAGGCUCGGGAAAUAUUUUCCAUCAAGGUCAGGAUUCAUUUGGAGUUUAUUAAAAAUAUUCAUCUCAUCAGAACGGGCGUAGAAAAAUAUUCGGGAUUGAUCGCGGGACGAAAAUUCACCGGAAGUGUCGAAAUCAGUCGAAUGGACCGAGAAGCUCGAGCUGGCCUUAUCUAUGAGAUAAGGACGUGAUGUAACCUGCCUGGCAUGGUGUGUGGCAAGGGAAGCAGGAGGUGUUGAAGCCCAGGAGAGCACAGCAUGCUGAUUGACACCCAGAAGCACGAGGUGCCGCGAAACCUGCGAUCGGAGCAUGCUGAGCGACAUGUGUGCGCUGAGUGUCAAUCUGGAUGAGGUCAGGCCGUGGAUCAGACAUCUGUAGGGCAUGGUGUCACUCUGCAUGAUGUCCUGGUCAUGCCAUCAGACAUGUGGAGCACGAGGUGCCGCGACGCAUGCGUCCGGAGCCAUGCGAAGCGACACACGGGCUGCCAGACGGCUUGUUUCUGAUUGGUUGCUGCAUCCUAUAUAAACCCCACGACCCCAGCUCAUUUCAAACCAUCCAGCACACCUGAAACUCAGAGAAAAACGUGAGAGAGAAAGCUAGAGAAAGAAAGUUCGAGUUUCGAUCGUUUUCGAGUCUUUUCGGCAGUUUUCGAGAACAGUUAUUCUACUGAUUUCAAGUCAGCGCCUAGGGGAGGUUCUGGCCAACUGAAGAUCAACCAAUUGAAUAUCAAUUCAGAUGGGAAGCAAGUCAACGUGGUUAGAGAGAGAGAGAAAGAGAGUGUAGCUGAGUUCCGAAGAUCGAUACUUCACCAUGAAGCGAUGUUCUGUCCAAUCGAAGAAUUUCUGCAAUUGUUAUGCGGAAGCUCUGCCCAAGUCAAUCUGUCCACUCUACUCAUAUUCUUUGAUGAUCAAGUGGAGGUGCUGUCCAAGAUCAGUUCAGUUCCAUGGUUUCAGUUCAGUUGAGGUUAUGGUUCGAUACUCUGUUCAGAUUUCGGAAGAAUUGUUCAGAAGCUAAGGAAGGUGCUGUUCGAGUUGAGUUCAGUCCAGACCAGUAUCAGGGGAGGUUCUUUACAAGUCAAGAUAAGUCCAGUCCAUUCCAGUCAAGGCGUCCCUUGGGUUUUGGCCAAGUCCUCUCCGAUCAACCAGCAGCUUCUCGCCUAGAACACUGUGAGUUGGUUUUGUUUGAAUUCCACUGGGAAUUUAGGGUAGAUCGAGUCGCAUAUAGAGUAGAAUGAUCACGUUAUUGAAUGGUAGAGUCCUUAGGGUUAUUUUAUUUAUGUAACCGGACUCAGUUUAGCAAGGGCUAAGCUGAGAUGAAUGGAAUUAAGACUGAGUUAAUAACCUGACUAAGACUAGGGCUAGGAUGCAUCAUGUUUUCUAUUCUUGCGUGUUGAUAUGGUUGAGUGCAGGUUCCCGUUAUCUUUAAGGAUAGUUUCAUAGCAGGAGGCUGGACAAUCUGGAUAACGGUUUGAUUUAAUUGAUUAGUAUUGAUUAUUAUUGCUUAGUCGUUUAGUAGUUAGUACUAAGGGUCUUAGGCCAUAUAGGCCGGACUACUGGUACUAUUGGUUUGUGUUGUAGAGUCGAGUGUCUAGUUAGGAUCUGGAACUUUAGCCUUAGGUUACGUUCUAGAUUGAGUUUGUUUUGUUGUGAGUGUGCCGACAGUAUGUGCGUGACCCGCCCAUACUAGGCUUGUGUAGGGGUGAGUUAGUGUUCCUUCAGACCUCGUACCCAGCGGGUUCAAGGAAACCCCUUAUUCGCUGGAUCGGGAAGACUCAGAGAGACGGGGUCAUGGCCUAUGGCUGAGUGAUUACACGACGGUGUAAUGUGGCAGUGACCCGAAGGACUGUGGGCUGUCGCGCGGUGACCCGAAAGACUGUGGGCCGCGGUCGGUUGAAAGUUCCUUCUUCUGGCCUUUGUGGUAGGAAGAUAGGAUAUUGCCGAUAGGGAGGAGGAACACGAAGUCACCAGGGCCCAGGUUAGAGUGUUGUGUUAGUGUGUCGUAGAGGGUUAUAGAACCCUCGAGUUAGUGUAGCACCGAUAUACGGUGUUACGAGUUAGAUAGAGUCGUAGUUACUCAUAGUCUUAUUAUUGUGAUUGUGUUUGUGGUUGAUUGAUUUGCUUGCAGGUUCUGACAUUAAGUCCUAAGUCUGGCUUAGGUACCGGAUUAGGCUUGAUGUGUAUUUUGUUAGUGUAGGCCUGACGUUGGCCUGUAUGUGUUUGAGUGAUUGCUUGUGAAGGGUGGUGGAUAUUAAAUCUAUGCGGUAUCAUUGGUUGGCCGAUCAUGUUCUUGUUUGAUUGUUGGUCGAUCGACUAAUGAUACUUGUAUAGUCUAAGUGUCUAACACUACAUGAGUACUGAACUCAGGCGUAUAUAUGGUUAACUAAGGAUUGGUUGUUGACUUGUUUUAGUGCAGGUUCCCGUUACUUGAAGCUAGAUCAUGGCAAGAGGCCAAGUCUAACUUAGUAACGGUUUGCUUAGCCUUAGCUUUUAUUGCAUGCUGGGGCUAGAUUGAUUGUUAUUUUGGGUUGUCCGGGUUAGAGUCUAGGUUGCGGGUAGAGGCCGCCAGCUCACUGAGUAACAUUAGGUUACUCAUCCAAUCCGUUGUCCUUUUUGCAGGUCGCUUUAGGUAAGGAUGAUCGGAUAGCUUGGUGCUGGACGUUAGGACCGCCGGUGUAGAUUUUCAUGCCUUUUGUAAACGGUAUUGUGGAUUUGUGUUUAGUUGACUCGAUUUGGCAUUAGGCCGGGACCGGUCUCGAAUUAUAUCAAUGUAUGGAUAUUUCUCGAAUCAAUAAAGUAAUUGUUUUAUAUGCGCUUCAUGAGUACUCUGAUAUUUGACUAGUCCGGUCUAACACAACGUUAGGUCGUAGUACGGGUUGAAAAGCCUUAGGCCUCGAUCUAACGGAAAACACUAACUCUAGGUACGGGUUGCAAAGCCUUAUGCCUUGACGCAGCGGGACGAGUUAGUGGAUGAACUGGUCUAGGUCGUGGAGUAAAGUUUGUGACUCUGACCGGAUUGUCCCUAGCCCGUCACGUAGCGCUUCCGGACCAUGGUGUUGGGUUGGACGGUCAGUCAUGUUCUUGUUUGAUUGUUGGCUGGCCGGUUGGCCUUUCAUCUCCAACCCUGGGUAUUGUACGGUCGAUCGGUCAUGUUCUUGUUUGAUUGUUGGCCGGUUGAUCGACCAUAUGUCUAGGACGGUUCGGGGGUGUUACAAAAGGUGGUAUCAGAGCAUGGUUUCGUCCAUGCUUCCGGAACUCAUGAUUUAAUCGGUUUUAAAUAUUUAUCGAGUCAAAUUGAGUCACAAAAGGCAUUAGGGAAACCGGUCACGUCCAGCGAUAGGAUUUGAGGUUUUAGGAAUUAGGAUUGAGAUAGUGUAAUCUAGAAUUGCUAGGUUGCUUGGGUAGAACUGUUAGGUUUCUGGUUAGAAUUGCGGUUAGGUUGAAUUGUUAGUAUUUGCUGGGUUAGUGGAUUAUUUGAUUAAUUGUUUACUAACUUGCAUGUGAGGUGUUCUUUUGAGUUGCAGCGAGUAAGUGUGUUCGUUGAUCGGAACUUUAAGGGAUGAAAACCUUAAAGUGGAGGGAGUUCGAGGCCAAACCCAAACCCGAAGCGAAAGAGGAGAGACAGAUUCAGAGAGAACUGGACAGUGGUAUGGACUGGACAGAUGGGAGGAAACAAGACUUCAUUGGGGAAGGACUUCAUCAGUAUUUGGGAAGACGAAGAUCAAGAAAAGGUUUGAGGAAUCUGGACAAGAUAGUAUCAUGGGCAAUGAGGGUGUUAUGGCAGAGUAAAUGCAAGAAGACGAUUCAGUAUUCAUCAAGUGAAGAGUUUUGUGGCAACUUUGAGAAGGAGACUCAUGGGAGAGCAGUAGAUACGGUGAAGCAACAUGAAGAUGAAUUCAGCAUGAGAGUGAAGCGACAUGGAGAUGAGUUAAGAAUGAGUGAAGCAUGGGAGAUAAAGAAGUGAAGGACGGAUUCAAGACUAAAGGAAUGCUUUGAGAUGUAUCAAGACGGAGUGAGUUCAGAACCAGAAGUUUGGGUGGAGACCAGAGAAACCGAAAGGAGGAAACCAAGGGCAAACCGAUAAAGAAACACAUAAAGUGAUCAAGACCGCGUGACAAGUGAUCCAAGGAGAAAUUUUCAUCAAGGGGAUGAACAUGUCGUGAAGCUGAGCCAUUGGACAACUAAGAAUUCGAGGACGAAUUCUAUUAAGGGGGGAAGAAUGUGAUAACCCGCACUUCGGGAUAAAAUGGUCGAAAGAGCAAAAGUCAGAAUCCAGAGCCGAGCUUUUGGGAAUCAAAGCAAUUGAAGGAAUGCUAAGUUUUGAUCACUUAAGACUUAACAUGGAUCGAAGAAAAUAUAAGAUUGGUCGAGCAUCAACUUUGUGGUUGAGUCGCGGGCAAUACAGAUCGAUCAGGAAAUUUGAAGUACGAGAAGGUCGAAGAAUGGAUCGUGAGUGAAGCAUGAGUUGAGAUAAGCUGCUCUACCAUUGUUAGAAAUGUCUUAGAUUGAUCAGACGGCAGUUUUGGAAGAAUCACAUUUUUGAAGCACGACGGUUUAGAAGCUCGACGUUUUUGAAGAUUGACGUUUCUUCAUCGCGAAGUUUUCUCGGAAUAUCUUCGUAUCAGUAAAAUAUUAUUCUGAAGACAUUAUAAGUCGGAAGCAGGACGGAAAUUAAGCAGGACGGGAAGCAAGCACGACGGGAUUGAAGCACAACGGGAAAACCCGAAGUUGGGCGAAAACCCUAAUUUUGGUAUUAUCGAUUUUUCGACGAAGCCGGAGGCUCGGGAAAUAUUUUCCAUCAAGGUCAGGAUUCACUUGGAGUUUAUUAAAAAUAUUCAUCUCAUCAGAACGGGCGUAGAAAAAUAUUCGGGAUUGAUCGCGGGACGAAAAUUCACCGGAAGUGUCGAAAUCAGUCGAAUGGACCGAGAAGCUCGAGCUGGCCUUAUCUAUGAGAUAAGGACGUGAUGUAACCUGCCUGGCAUGGUGUGUGGCAAGGGAAGCAGGAGGUGUUGAAGCCCAGGAGAGCACAGCAUGCUGAUUGACACCCAGAAGCACGAGGUGCCACGAAACCUGCGAUCGGAGCAUGCUGAGCGACAUGUGUGCGCUGAGUGUCAAUCUGGAUGAGGUCAGGCCGUGUAUCAGACAUCUGUAGGGCAUGGUUUCACUCUGCAUGAUGUCCUGGUCAUGCCAUCAGACAUGUGGAGCACGAGGUGACGCGACGCAUGCGUCCGGAGCCAUGGGAAGCGACACACGGGCUGCCACACGGCUUGUUUCUGAUUGGUUGCUGCAUCCUAUAUAAACCCCACGACCCCAGAUCAUUUCAAACCAUCCAGCACACCUGAAACUCAGAGAAAAACGUGAGAGAGAAAGCUAGAGAAAGAAAGUUCGAGUUUCGAUCGUUUUCGAGUCUUUUCGGCAGUUUUCGAGAACAGUUAUUCUACUUAUUUCAAGUCAGCGCCUAGGGGAGGUUCUAGCCAACUGAAGAUCAACCAAUUGAAUAUCAAUUCAGAUGGGAAGCAAGUCAACGUGGUUAGAGAGAGAGAGAAAGAGAGUGUAGCUGAGUUCCGAAGAUCGAUACUUCACCAAGAAGCGAUGUUUUGUCCAAUCGAAGAAUUUCUGCAAUUGUUAUGCGGAAGCUCUGCCCAAGUCAAUCUGUCCACUCUACUCAUACUCUUUGAUGAUCAAGUGGAGGUGCUGUCCAAGAUCAGUUCAGUUCCAUGGUUUCAGUUCAGUUGAGGUUAUGGUUCGAUACUCUGUUCAGAUUUCAGAAGAAUUGUUCAGAAGCUAAGGAAGGUGCUGUUCGAGUUGAGUUCAGUCCAGACCAGUAUCAGGGGAGGUUCUGUACAAGUCAAGAUCAGUCCAGUCCAUUCCAGUCAAGGCGUCCCUUGGGUUUUGGCCAAGUCCUCUCCGAUCAACUAGCAGCUUCUCGCCUAGAACACUGUGAGUUGGUUUUGUUUGAAUUCCACUUGGAAUUUAGGGUAGAUCGAGUCGCAUAUAGAGUAGAAUGAUCACGUUAUUGAAUGGUAGAGUCCUUAGGGUUAUUUUAUUUAUGGAACCGGACUCAGUUUAGCAAGGGCUAAGCUGAGAUGAAUGGAAUUAAGACUGAGUUAAUAACCUGACUAGGACUAGGGCUAGGAUGCAUCAUGUUUUCUAUUCUUGCGUGUUGAUAUGGUUGAGUGCAGGUUCCUGUUAUCUUUAAGGAUAGUUUCAUAGCAGGAGGCUGGACUAUCUGGAUAACGGUUUGAUUUAAUUGAUUAGUAUUGAUUAUUAUUGCUUAGUCGUUUAGUAGUUAGUACUAAGGGUCUUAGGCCAUAUAGGCCGGACUACUGGUACUAUUGGUUUGUGUUGUAGAGUCGAGUGUCUAGUUAGGAUCUGGAACUUUAGCCUUAGGUUAGGUUCUAGAUUGAGUUUGUUUUGUUGUGAGUGUGCCGACAGUAUGCGCGUGACCCGCCCAUACUAGGCUUGUGUAGGGGUGAGUUAGUGUUCCUUCAGACCUCGUACCCAGAGGGUUCAAGGAAACCCCUUAUUCGCUGGAUCGGGAAGACUCAGAGAGACGGGGUCAUGGCCUAUGGCUGAGUGAUUACACGACGGUGUAAUGUGGCAGUGACCCGAAGGACUGUGGGCUGUCGCGCGGUGACCCGAAGGACUGUGGGCCGCGGUCGGUUGAAAGUUCCUUCUUCUGGCCUUUGUGGUAGGAAGAUAGGAUAUUGCCGAUAGGGAGGAGGAACACGAAGUCACCAGGGCCCAGGUUAGAGUGUUGUGUUAGUGUGUCGUAGAGGGUUAUAGAACCCUCGAGUUAGUGUAGCACCGAUAUACGGUGUUACGAGUUAGAUAGAGUCGUAGUUACUCAUAGUCUUAUUAUUGUGAUUGUGUUUGUGGUUGAUUGAUUUGCUUGCAGGUUCUGAGAUUAAGUCCUAAGUCUGGCUUAGGUACUGGAUUAGGCUUGAUGUGUAUUUUGUUAGUGUAGGCCUGACGUUGGCCUGUAUGUGUUUGAGUGAUUGCUUGUGAAGGGUGGUGGAUAUUAAAUCUAUGCGGUAUCAUUGGUUGGCCGAUCAUGUUCUUGUUUGAUUGUUGGUCAAUCGACUAAUGAUACUUGUAUAGUCUAAGUGUCUAACACUACAUGAGUACUGAACUCAGGCGUAUAUAUGGUUAACUAAGGAUUGGUUGUUGACUUGUUUUAGUGCAGGUUCCCGUUACUUGAAGCUAGAUCAUGGCAGGAGGCCAAGUCUAACUUAGUAACGGUUUGCUUAGCCUUAGCUUUUAUUGCAUGCUGGGGCUAGAUUGAUUGUUAUUUUGGGUUGUCCGGGUUAGAGUCUAGGUUGCGGGUAGAGGCCGCCAGCUCACUGAGUAACAUUAGGUUACUCAUCCAACUCCGUUGUCCUUUUUGCAGGUCGCUUUAGGUAAGGAUAAUCGGAUAGCUUGGUGCUGGACGUUAGGACCGCCGGUGUAGAUUUUCAUGCCUUUUGUAAACGGUAUUGUGGAUUUGUGUUUAGUUGACUCGAUUUGGCAUUAGGCCGGGACCGGUCUCGAAUUAUAUCAAUGUAUGGAUAUUUCUCGAAUCAAUAAAGUAAUUGUUUUAUAUGCGCUUCAUGAGUACUCUGAUAUUUGACUAGUCCGGUCUAACACAACGUUAGGUCGUAGUACGGGUUGAAAAGCCUUAGGCCUCGAUCUAACGGAAAACGCUAACUCUAGGUACGGUUUGCAAAGCCUUAUGCCUUGACGCAGCGGGACGAGUUAGUGGAUGAACUGGUCUAGGUCGUGGAGUAAAGUUUGUGACUCUGACCGGAUUGUCCCUAGCCCGUCACGUAGCGCUUCCGGACCAUGGUGUUGGGUUGGACGGUCAGUCAUGUUCUUGUUUGAUUGUUGGCUGGCCGGUUGGCCUUUCAUAUCCAACCCUGGGUAUUGUACGGUCGAUCGGUCAUGUUCUUGUUUGAUUGUUGGCCGGUUGAUCGACCAUAUGUCUAGGACGGUUCAGGGGUGUUACAUCCUGUGUGUGCUGACGGACACCCACGGACGUCCUGUGUGUACUGAACAGAUAGCCCACGUGGACAAAAAUCACGCGAACAGUCCACGGGAAGGGCCAGCGUGCUGAGUCCAAGGACCAGCUGGCUGAUAUGUGUACUGAUGGACAGCAUUGAGAUCAGAACGUUCUGAAGAUUUCAACUGAGGUUCAUGUUUUUCACCAUACUGACCAGACUGACCGGACACUGUACUGGACUGUCCCACAUGCAUCCGGAUGGGAGCUUUGGCUGGAACCAUGGCCAGAUGACCGAUUUGACCAUACCAGAUUUUGUAUCCACCAUACUGUUUUCCAUUUCAUGAAGAACAGUCGAGACGAAAUCGCAUUCGGACGCACCAAUUCUGAGAUAGGUCAUCGCUACUCAAUUCUGGACUGUACCGUACGUACUGCCCGCGCGACCGGAUUGGAACUUCUUCAAAACUCACGACCAGACGAUCGAAUCCCUCGUACUGAAUCUCGGCUUUCCUGACCUGUUUUGCAAUCUAAGAAGAAUGGUCGUGGCAGAUUUCAAUUUGAUCGAAUGGAUUUCAAGUUAGGCCGUGCAACUUCAUUUCCGGCUAGUUUGGACUCUCCUGAUCGCGUACUGGCCCUGUCCACGGGACAUGCUGAAGGUUCAUUGAAUCUGGACAGUGGAAUUUGAAGAGUUCACUUGCAGUCAAUGUUAAUUUUCGUGCUUGACCAGAUCUGGUCAAUUUUAUAAUUUUCUAUGUUUAGAUUUCCCACAUUUUUCUUUAAGUCUUUUGACUAGAACUUCUAUAUAAUGUAACCAUCAGAUCUGAAUAAGAUAAUUUCGUUUUGCUUUCAUUCUUUUGAGUUUUUACUCUCUUUGUUCUUUGUUAGAACAUUUCUUAGUUUCUUGGUGAGGUUAUCUCCAAGUUUCGAUCCGUCUUUUGUUGGACCGGUGCGUCACAUCCGGCAACGAUCGAAGUCUGGUAGUAUCUUUGGGCUAUUCCGCAACCCUUAGUGUCACCGUUCAUACCAUCAGUUCUCAAUCCUCUCGAAUCUGAGUUCAUAUCAACCUUACCGAAAGAGUGAUCCUUAUUUUGGUUCUAUCACCACGUGGGCCAAAAUAACCCAAACAGUCCACGGAAAGGGCCAGCGUGCUUAGUCGGAGGACCAACGUGCUGAUAUGUGUACUGAUGGACAACCAUGGACGUCCUGUGUGUGCUGACGGACACAGACGGACACACACGGACACACACGGACAGCCACGGACGUCCUAUGUGUGCUGGCGGACACCCACAGACGUCCUGUAUGUACUGAACAGACAGCCCACGUGGGCCAAAUUCACCCAAACAGUCCACGGGAAGGGCCAUCGUGCUGAGUCCAAAGACCAACGUGAUGAUAUGUGUACUGAUGGACAGCCAAAGACGUCCUGUGUGUGUUAACGGACACACACGGACACACACGGACAGCCACGGACGUCCUGUGUGUGCUGACGGACACACACGGACGUCCUGUGUGUGCUGACGGACACCCACGGACGUCCUGUGUGUGCUGACGGACACACAAAAACACAAUGACAGCCACAGACGUCCUGUGUGUGCUGAUGGACAGCCACGGACACCCUGUGUGUGCUGGUGGACACCCACAGACGUCCUGUGUGUACUUAAUAGACAGCCCACAUGGGCCAAAAUCACCCGAACAGUCCAAGGGAAGGGCCAGCGUGCAGAGUUCAAGGACCAACGUGCUGAUAUGUGUACUGAUGGACAGCUACGGACGUCUUGUGUGUGCUGACGGACACCCACGGACACACACGGACACACACAGACAGCCACAGACGUCCUGUGUGUGCUGCGGACACCCACAGACGUCCUAUUUGUACUGAACAGACAGCCCACGUGGGCCAAAAUCAGUCCACGAGAAGAGUCAGCGUGCUGAGUCCAAAGACCAACGUGCUGAUAUGUGUACUGAUGGACAGCGAUGGACGUCCUGUGUGUGCUGACGGACACACACGAACAAACACGGACAGCCACAAACGUCCUGUGUGUGCUGACGGACACACAAGGAUGUCCUGUGUGUGCUGACGGACACCCAUAGACGUCAUGUGCGUACUGAACACACAACCCACGUGGGCAAAAAUCACCCGAACAGUCCACGGGAAGGGUCAGCGUACUGAGUCCAAGGACCAAUGUGCUGAUAUGUGUACUGAUGGACAGCCACAGACUUCUUGUGUGUGCUGACGGACACACACGGACGUCCUGUGUGUGCUGACGAACACCCACGAACAUCUUGUGUGUGUUGACGGACACACACGAACACACACAGACAGCCACAGACGUCCUGUGUGUGCUGACGGACAGCCACAGACGUCCUAGGUGUGCUGGCGGACACCCACGGACGUCCUAUGCGUACUGAAUAGACAGCCCACGUGGGCCAAAAUCACCCAAACAGUCCAAGGUAAGGGCCAGCGUGCUGAGUUCAAGGACCAACGUGCUGAUAUGUGUACUGAUGGACAGCCACGGAUGUCUUGUGUGUGCUGACAGACACACACGGAAACACACAGACAGCCACGGACGUCCUGUGUGUGCUGGCGGAUACCUACAGACGUCCUAUGUGUACUGAACAGACAGCCCACGUGGGCCAAAAUCAGUCCACGAGAAGAGUCAGCGUGCAGAGUCCAAGGACCAACGUGCUGAUAUGUGUACUGAUGGACAGCCACAGACAUCCUGUGUGUGCUGACGGACACACACGAACAAACACGGACAGCCACGGACGUCCGGUGUGUGCUGACGGACACACACGGAUGUCCUAUGUGUGCUGACGGACACCCACGGACGUCCUGUGCGUACUGAACACACAACCCACGUGGGCCAAAAUCACCCGAACAGUCCACGGGAAGGGUCAGCGUACUGAGUCCAAGGACCAAUGUGCUGAUAUGUGUACUGAUGGACAGCCACAGACGUCUUGUGUGUGCUGACGGACACACACGGACGUCCUGUGUGUGCUGACGAACACCCACAAAUGUCUUGUGUGUGCUGACGGACACACACGAACACACACGGACAGCCACAGACGUCAUGUGUGUGCUGACGGACAGCCACGGACGUCCUGUGUGUGCUGGCAGACACCCCCAGACGUCCUGUGUAUACUGAAUAGACAGCCCACGUGGGCCAAAAUCACCCAAACAGUCCAAGGUAAGGGCCAGGGUGGUGAGUUCAAGGACCAACAUGCUGAUAUGUGUACUGAUGGACAGCCACAUAUGUCUGGUGUGUGCUGACGGACACAUAUGGACACACACAGACAGCCACGGACGUCCUGUGUGUGCUGGCGGACACCCACAGACGUCCUAUUUGUACUGAACAGACAGCCCACGUGGGCCAAAAUCAGUCCACGGGAAGAGUCAGCGUGCUGAGUCCAAGGACGAACGUGCUGAUAUGUGUACUGAUGGACAGCCACGGACGUCUUGUGUGUGCUGACGGACACUGACGGACACACACGGACGUCCUGUGUGUGUUGACGGACACACACAGACGUCCUGUGUGUGCUGACGGACACCCACAGACGUCCUGUGCGUACGAAACAGACAGCCCACGUGGGCCAAAAUCACCUGAACAGUCCACGGGAAGGGUCAGCGUACUGAGUCCAAGGACUAACGUGUUGAUAUGUGUACUGAUGGACAGCCACGGACGUCCUGUGUGUGCUGAAAGACACACACGGACACACACACGGACAGCCACGGACGUCCUGUGUGUGCUGACGGACACCCAUGGACAUCCUGUGUGUGCUAACGGAAAGAACUUUCCGCGGAUUUCUAAUCUGCAAAGUUUGAUCGAUGAUUUAGAAUAGCGGAAAACAUAGACUGAGCUCGCUACGGUCUUCGGGAGAUAGCAUUUGAAGGUUUGACGAGAAUGCAUGGACUGGUGUCAUCCCGAUGGUCGGAAGAGCUUGGUCGCUACGCAGCGACCGAACUUUGGCUCGAGCCCGAUCGAUACGUAGCGACCGAGCGAGACGGACGCUCGGUCGCUACGUAGCGACCGAGCAAGACGGACGCUCGGUCGCUACGUAGCGACCGAGCUUGGCUCGAGCUCGAUCGCUAUGUAGCGACCGAGCUGUUUUCAUGCUUGGUCGCCGCGUAUCGAUCGAGCUUGGCUUGUCCGUGGUGUGAUUUCCAUACUCGAGCUUGUCCGCGGUCUGAUUUCCAUACUCGAGCUUGUCCGCGGACGAUUUGGAUACAUGUCCGUUGCCUUCGGACAAUCGGUAUUUAGUGGUUCGAUUGAUAUUUGGACGAGAUUUUACUGCAAGGCUCUUCAUAAAGAUAUCUUUACGAAGAUUACUUUUCGUAAAAACAUUUAUGCUGAUUUUUACGGACUUUCAGACAUUGAUUCCGUCAUGACCGAUUUUGACCCCAACAGUUAGCCCCCCAGCUCGUUAGAACCAUGAGUUUCUAGCGUGAGGUUCUAGCGAGUGGCUUGGCAAGUUAGGCAAGUUAGGCGGAGUUACUGGUUGAAAAGGUCUGUGGUAAGUGAUCUUCUCGCUCUCCUAAAAGUAGAAAACGCGAUAAGAUUGGGGCUGCCCCUUAUGACGGCUGCCUACGUACCCUUGUUGAAGGGAUCAAGCCUUUCGUAGUUCAUCUUGGAGUUAAGGUUCUUAUGACUAGUUUUCCAGUAGGACCUUUAUGGUCUAGUUUUUAUGUAGCGGUUAUAAGGCGUGUUGCUCCCGAUGGCAUUUUGUAUGGGUGUAGAAGGAAGACUACGAGUUGUCGUCUCGUAAUCUAACUCUGUGUGAAUUGCCAUAUCCAUAAUCUGUUUCGAGAGUUUUCCGAAGUGUGUAAACUUGCGGGAUUUUCUGAAGACGUUCGAAUAUUGGCAAAGAGACAAAUUUUGGGAUCUCGUAUCAGGGUGUUUGAUACUAUGCCUAGAGAUGUUAGAGACCAGUGCGCUGGGUUUAGGGCAAGACCUAGGUUUACUUUCGGUUUAAGGAUUGUGCGGUGACUGGCCGGCUAUCGUUUUUCCUGUUGCGAUUUCUUCAUGAUUCGUAUCGAUUUAAAGUCCGCGAUAGGUUCUCGGUUUAUACGACUUGUUUGAUACGAAUAGAGCAUCUCUCCGGAGACCGGAAGUGCUGGACCAAAAUUUCGGAUUUCUUUUAUUGCGCUAUUAUCCUUGUGUCGGAUGUAAGAGAGUCAUCUUCGUGAGAUGGCUAUGUCUGUUUAGGACGUUGAGAGUUUGUUGUGAUCAGCAACAAACUUAACGGUAAAAAAUACCGUUUCGAGUCUUUGCGAAGAAUAUUUUUUGAGAAGAUGUUAGUGCGUAUGACUGUUUGGUCUUCCAUGAAGGUGUUUUUAUCGAGGAAGGAAAUUUCGUCGAAGAACUAAUCUUCAGGCGUCUGCGACGUCUUGCGAUGCUGAAAAUUUGUUAUUCUUUCGUAUGCCACGUUUCGUGCUUGAAAUGUUCGCGGGCUUGAAGAUAUUUCGCGAUGUUGCAAGGGUUUAGUCUUAGCCAUGCGUUUUAAAAACAUUCUAGUUUGACUACGAAUGUUCGCAGCCAAAAUUGUUGUUCAUGUUUGGAUGCUAAUAGUUUUAUUUGCGAUCGAGGAAUUAUGACUGAGGUGUCGUGUAAAUUUGUCCAUGGGAACAAGCGUUUUCCUUCAUAGUGCUUUGUGAAGUGUUGGCCUUCUAAGAUGUAUUUCGUGCCUUUUUUAGGAUGUUUCGUAUAGCUCUAGAAGCUUUGUUACGAAUUUUUCCUUACAUGCCGCGUAUUAUGGUUAAAACGUUGCGGGCUUAAAGUGAAUUGUGGAGCGUAUUGAACUUGGUCAAUUUUCGAAAAGUUUAGAUUUUCCGUUAACCGUUUGGUUGUUAGGACUUAGUUUCGUUACGAAGAAUUUAUCAUAUGAUUUCCGACUGUGGGCUAUACGAUAAUUUAUCAUAUCAUAUAACCGAUUUUACGAAGGUCGUAAAUCAGUGAUAUGUAUACAUAUGUCAAAGUAGCAUUGUUUCUGCGGGUUCUACGAGAAACGUUCCCGCUGUGAUUUUGAUCUUAGGUGAAAGUUGCUUGGAGUUACCCAUGGAGUAUUACCGAAGUUUAUUUCAAUACGAUCUAGUCGCGGAACGUUUUUCAUAGGUUUUCGAGAGGAUUCUCAUGACACAUUCGUUUCUUGAACGAAUUGGUCAACCAGAAGUGGAUCUAGCUAACCAUCGGGAGGAAAGUGCUCCUUUUAAUGUGCACGAUGCUACAUAUAUUCUCGAGUUUUCUUCGUUGCAAAUGUUUUCGAUGCUUUUCCGUGACUUACUUGGUACAACGGAAACUGAAAGAAAUGCUUUGGUGAUUGAAGAUUUCUCGUAGAAAUUUUUAAAACGAAACUGGCUUUCUGAAGCCGGAAAAAGCUUCAAUACUUUGGCUAAUCGACAAUCGUUUGAUAUUGGUACAAGUUUUCUGUACGCAUGAUUGCUACAAGAAAUGAUGUAUAGUUUUUGAGAUUAUGUUCAUGAUCGUCUGGAUAUGUUGCUAGCGUUUAGACGGAUAUUAAGAUUUUCGCUUGCCUAUUCUUGACGAUUUGCAGAAGUUUUUUGAGGUUUGGGAGUAUACGAGUAUAGUAUACGUACCUACUCCCCUUUUUUUUUUUUUUUUUUUACGAAAGAAAACGGUUGAACCGAUACUUUGAAGGGUUGUGUACGUUUUCUCUUCUGAUGUUUGGAAUGAUCGAUAAUUCGGGACGAUUUAUAGACGACGCUUGGAAUGUGAUUUGGUUGUUUCCACGUUGACGACUUGGGAUAUGUCGGUUCCGAGAAAAUUGCCAGAAACGAAUCGGUUUUAAGACGACGUUCAUGUCUCUAAAUUUUUCUCUUUUUAAGAAGCGAGCUUGAUAUGCGUGGCGAUCGUUUCUCGACUUUCGGAGAGUUUAGAUCGGUUUGCAAGAUCUGGAUGAACAAUUAUGGAACAAUAUAUCGAGACAGGAAAAAUCGCUUAUAACUUAGUUCGCUAGACUAUCCGCCUAGGUUUUACGUUCCCUAAAGUUCUAUGGCAGCCUCAAAGUAAUUUCCUACGAAAAUUCCAAGUCUGAUUUCAAAAAUUUCAAGUCGGAAAUACCUUAGUUCUCUCGAAGAUGCAGUUUUGUCCCUUCUCAGUUUUGCGUGCUCAUUUCCGUUUCCUAUUCUCGUGUAUGUUCGCCAUUUCCGAUAUUGGUGUUUAUCCUUUGAAACUUGACAGUUAUCUUCCGAACUUGACUGUUGUCUUCUCCUUAGAUAAGACGUUGAUUUUUGUAAAAAGGUUCAACGCAAUCGUAUAUUUAAGGCGGCUAAGGUGUUAAGUUAACCGUCGCCGUUUUAUACGAUUAAUCUGAAUCCAUGCGAGAAAAUAGGUCUUUGCGGUUUUUUUAUAAAAUCUCAAUGGUAACUUCAAUCGAGGCGAAAUAAGAGACGUUUUGAUCGAGAUUCGAAAGUGAACGCAAAGAUGGAGGUAGGGUGAGCAGAAACAAGCCAAGGAGUUUAAGAUGAGUUUUACUUGUUUUUGUCGUAAAAUCUCAACGGAAACUCCGAUUGAGACGAAACGAAAAGCGUUUCGAGGAGAAUUCAAAGGAGAACGCAAAGGAGGAUCCCUUUGAGGCCUGACAGGUCGCUACGUUGCGACAGACAGUCUGACAGGUCGCUACGUAGCGAGUGGAAGCAAGCCAAGAAGAGUCCUACUUGUUUUCGUCGUAAAAUCUCAACGGAAACUCCGAUUGAGACGAAACGAAAAGCGUUUCGAUGAGGGUUCAAAGGAGAACGCAAAGGAGGACCUCUUUGAGGCCUGACAGGUCGCUACGUAGUGACUGACGGUCUGACAGGUCGCUACGUAGCGAGUGGAAGCAAGCCAAGAAGAGUCUUACUUGUUUUCGUCGUAAAAUCUCAACGGAAACUUCGAUUGAGACGAAACGAAAAGCGUUUUGAUGAGGAUUUAAAGGAGAACGCAAAGGAGGACCUCUUUGAGGCCUGACAGGUCGCUACGUAGCGACUGACGGUCUGACAGGUUGCUACGUAGCGAGUGGAAGCAAGCCAAGAAGAGUCCUACUUGUUUUCGUCGUAAAAUCUCAACGGAAACUCCGAUUGAGACGAAACGAAAAGCGUUUCGAUGAGGAUUCAAAGGAGAAAGCAAAUAAGGACCUCUUUGAGGCCUGACAGGUCGCUACGUAGCAACUGACGGUCUGACAGGUCGCUACGUAGCGAGUGGAAGCAAGCCAAGAAGAGUCCUACUUGUUUUCGUCGUAAAAUCUCAACGGAAACUCCGAUUGAGACGAAACGAAAAGCGUUACGAUGAGGAUUCAAAGGAGAACGCAAAGGAGGACCCCUUUGAGGCCUGACAGGUCGCUACGUAGCGACUGACGGUCUGACAGGUCCCUACGUAGCGAGUGGAAGCAAGCCAAGAAGAGUCCUACUUGUUUUCGUCGUAAAAUCUCAACGGAAACUCCGAUUGAGACGAAACGAAAAGCGUUUCGAUGAGGAUUCAAAGGAGAACCCAAAGGAGGACCUUUCUGAGGCUUUACAGGUCGCUACGUAGCGACCGAGCGGUGUGCGUGCUCGGUCGCUACGUAGCGACCGAGCAGUGCGUGCUCGGUCGCUAGAUAGCGACCGAGCAGUGUGCGUGCUCGGUCGCUACGUAGCGACCGAGCGGUGCGUGUGCUCGGUCGCUACGUAGCGACCGAGCGGUGCAUGCUCGGUGGCUACGUAACGACCGAGCGGUGUGCGUGCUCGGUCGCUAUGUAGUGACCGAGCAGUGCGUGCUCGGUCGCUACGUAGUGACCGAGCGGUGUGCGUGCUCGGUCGCUACGUAGCGACCGAGCAGUGCGUGCUCGGUCGCUACGUAGCGACCGAGCAGUGUGCGUGCUCGGUCGCUACGUAGCGACCGAGCUGUGUAAUUGAUUUGUUGCGUUUCCUUUUCCGCGAUUAACCUAAGGGUUUUUCAGGGGUUUUUGGGAGAACAAGUUUUACCCUUCCGAAAUGUUUUCGGAAAACAUGUUUUGGUAAAACCCUUACGCAUCGAGAUUUCUUUUGUUCGUUAAUGAGCCAAACUUACGGGGUUUUGAUAAGAUUUAUCGUUUCCCUUCGUGUUUACAGGGAGAAAUAGCGAGCUUGUUUUAGUGCUCUUCCUGUGGCGGAAGGUCGCGACUAAGUUUUCGAUUUUGUUGAAAACUACGGUGUUUGCGUAAGCGUUGGCCAUAGGAGCAGUCAGUGCUGCGAGUUUCUCUUUCAUGUAUCCAGACAUCGUUUCGAUCAAGCGUUUUGUGGCCAUGAGUAAGAGUAAUCCGUUACCUCCCCUCCUUCUAGCGCCAAACUGUGGGAACCGAAAUUCGCACUGUCGAUUUCCGUUUAAAUAAAGAAACUAGGAAAACCCUAUUUUCCCAGAGGUCCCGGAUCUCUGCAGGAGCCAAGGACAAGUGACCAAAUAUAUGCGGAAAUUAUGAAAAGAUAACAAACGAGUUUAGGGAAAACAGUUGAUCUUAUUUCGAGUCCGCGUAAGAGCGUUGCGAUCAUUACAAGAGAUCAUGAAAGCUUUGGCCGCAAAGGCUGUCAGCGAGUUACUUAGUUCUAGCGACCUAAUAGCUCAAACCUAGUUUAGUCGCAGCUCGAUAACGAAAGACGAAAUAGAUAAAGAAACGGUUAUUGAUUGAUUUCGGACUGAACCUUGUUAAAGGCUGCCUACGUACCCCUUUCGAGGAUGAAGCCGAACGUAGUUCAAUUGAUAGAGCUGGACAAGAGAUCGAACUGCCUGGGCGAGUUCGUCUAGUAAUUGUGUGCCAGUCAUAGAAACCGAACUUGUCGAGAAUAAAGCCUAAAGUUUCUAAGUGCAGAGAAUUCCGAAUCUAAAAGCUCUCCCAAUGCUCCUCGCCUAGGACUCCUUAUAUACUAGCUCCAAGGUCGGUUUACGCUUUUACUCUUCUGCCCUUAAGCCGUCAUAGCGUAAAAAUGGAGAUAUUCCAUUUUUCCCAUUUUCACAAUUAUCUUCAAAACUUCCGUAUUUAUCCACGGAAACUUGACAAUUAUCCUUCCUUGUGGACCAAGCGUAAACCGGGCUUUGGUUUACGGGCCUUUGGUUAAGAAAUCGCAGGAUGGGCCUCGAGUCGUGUUUUAGGUCCCUUUGGGCUGUCUUCCGACUCGAAGAGUUUACUACAAUUUCUUUCGACAAAGAAAGAACUUUCCGCGGUUUCUAAUAUGCGAAGUUUGAUCGAUGAUUUAGAAUAGCGGAAAACAUAGACUGAGCUCGCUAUGGUCUUCGGGAGAUAGCAUUUGAAGGUUUGACGAGAAUGCAUGGACUGGUGUCAUACCGAUGGUUGGAAGAGCUCGGUCGCUACGCAGAGACCGAACUUUGGCUCGAGCCCGAUCGCUACGUAGCGACCGAGCGAGACGGACGCUCGGUCGCUACGUAGCGACCGAGCUUGGCUCGAGCUCGAUCGCUAUGUAGCGACCGAGCUGUUUUCAUGCUUGGUCGUCGCGGAUCGAUCGAGCUUGGCUUGUCCGUGGUCUGAUUUCCAUACUCGAGCUUGUCCGCGGCCGAUUUGGAUACAUGUUCGUUGCCUUCGGACAAUCGGUAUUUAGUGGUUCGAUUGAGAUUUGGACGAGAUUUUUACUGCAAGGCUCUUCGUAAAGAUAUCUUUACGAAGAUUACUUUUCGUAAAAACGUUUAUGCUGAUUUCUACGGACUUUUAGACAUUGAUUCCGUCGUGACGAUUUUGACCCCAACAGUCUACUCUAGACUUUCUUCUUGUUCGGAUCUAGGUCCAUGACUAGAUCAAUUCAUUCCCUAGGAACAUACUGCGUACUCAAGUCUUAGUAGAUUCAAACCAUCUCUAAGCCACACGAUGCACCAGCCAAGUCCUAGCGAACAUGUUCCAAUAUUUAGGCUGCUCACUCUACCAUGAGUCCUAACAGAUUGUUUUGUUCCAUUAAGUCCUUCCUGGACAAUAAGGUUUAUGACUCCACAGAUCAUUAAGUACUUAGAUGAGUAGGAUCUCGAUUUGAUCACACAUUUGGAAAAUGUCCCAUACCAUUCUCCAAAGCAUCACACUUCUGUGAACGUCCCAUACCAUUCACAAAAGUGUUUAUAGUAUACCUCAAUCCUCCUCAUACUAAGAUACUUAACAUCGUGUUUCCAAUUCCUCUUGGAAUUGAUCCAUUCCAUUCACUCAAUCUUAAGGAAUCCUACCUUGACUUAUACUGAGUCCAAGCUGAUCCAUCUGAUCACACGCCCACUCAUGUACUAGUCAUGUAGCGUCUCCCUUAGACUAAUAUGAACACGACAUAUGCUCACUUGUUUUGAACGGCCGCCAGGGGAUAACACGAACCUCCAAAAGAGUGCUGCACGUUUCUUUCAACCUAAGCCUAUCCCUGGUCCAUGUACUUCCCUGCUCCAGGUCGUCCAUACAAAGAUCUUGCGUUGCGUCCAUCGUCCAAUCCGUUUACUACUUCCAAAUAACUAGAUAACUAACCUUUCUGUUUUCAGGGUCUUACCCUUGGAGAGUGCAUCUUGGCUAAACCGGCUCAUCUUGGAACUUUCCCGUUCACAACCAUGACACCCAAUCUUACCUCAACUCUCUCUUGGCUCACCAUAGCUAAGGUUCCGAGUCAUCUCAGUUUUCAGAAAUAAUUUCGGUUCGGAACUCAACAUCUUUGAGCACUGUCCUUAACAGGAUCAAGCAUGCUCUGAUACCAACUUGUAAGACCCAAUCCCGGCCGACUAGGCCGCGGUCGAUGCCUCAUGUCGCUCGGUCCAUACUACGACCAAACCUCUAAAUUAUUUUUGCCCUUUAUCUAUAAUAUCGCCCAUAGGCGAGGGCUAACCUAGAUCUUAGCUUACGACUAUCUUAGUCAUUCCAUAGUUUAGAUCAUUUCAACUUAUGCACAGUGGAAUAAUAUCUACUAAACCAUUGGACUAAAUCCAAUCUAGUACUCGUCCGGUCGAAUCAACAACCAGCUUGCUCAAAGAUCGAUCCUAGACCCGAAUCAAGUCAUACAAAUCUGAGGUUCCAUUCCCCUAGUCAAUUCUAUCUAGAACUAAGUAAGAGUUACUAGAUCAUACCUUAGCCACAUCCACGGAGCUUGUUAGCUCAUCGGCCCAGCUAAUCUAGCUGAAUGAACUCGUAAACCAGCUGAUCAAGCUGUCACACUCGAACUGAGCUGAGUCCGAUCUAUGGCCAGCUGCCAUAUACUGCGUCCAGCUUCUUUACACAUAAAACAACUCCCCUAGGUACUUAGUCAUUCAGCCAACCAUCCCCACUGACUUAAGUAACCCUUGAGAAGUCUUCAAACAGCUAAGGACAUGCAUUUGGCCGUUCCCGGCUCAUGCCUCAUUCAACAUCCUUCCGCUUAUCAGCUUAUGAUACCAAGUCCAUCUUAUGGACUAACAAUUCUCAUCAGAUCCUAAGUCAAUCAACCAACCACCCCACAUGACCCAGAACUGAUGAGUAUUCACACAUACCUAACCGGCCAUGGAACCAUGUCCCAACGAAACUGAUCACUACUGCUCUUACAACCGGUGCGUCCUUUGAUCAAUCUGAUCAGACACCUUGACCCAUCAUCUAUGGAUCAGGUCGUCCAUCCUUACCCAUGAUCAGAUUACACACGGCCUUCCUUGAAUAAUAACACUCAAGCUCAGUACUUAUGGUCCAUGCCACCAAGUACUAGCUAGACUCUUCUUUAUGGCUCUUAACCAAUGCUUUGCACAUAGCUUACCAACCCAAGGUUGAUAAAUAACAUUCCUUAUGAUUAAUAAUCAUAAGUGCCAAACAUUUCACAAUACACAAGCAUAUGAUCCGAUAACCUAACACAAAGAUCUAUCAUUGCAUGGCUGGUUCCAUAACUAAUCGAUCAAUUUCUCAUUAAACCCAAAUCUGGCCGAUUUCAAAUGUGAUCCAAAAACUAAAUAAAAUUCUUGUAAAUUCAUGAUAAUUCCCAACUAAGAGAAUUCCAUAAUCAGAAUUUGCAGAACCAACCUCGAUCCUAGAGAUCUCGCCCAAGAUCAGCCAAGUCGGCCCAAAGUGGACAUCAUCAAAUCAAUUCCUAAAAACUGAUUAAAAUUCAUGAAACCUCAUGAUAAUUCAUAACUAAGAGAUUCCCAUAAUCAGAUUCCAAAGAACCGAUCCAGAACAUAUAGAUCUCGAUCAAGAACAGCCCGGCUAAGGCCAUGGACAUCAUUCCUGAACCGGCCAAGGCCAAGGCUCAGUGCCAUCAAGUCUGAUCCAACAGACUACACCAUGUAAACCUAGUUUAUAUCACAAUAUAUAGUCUUCAAGGGGCGUGGCAUACUUGGCCUUGAUCACACCACAAGAGACAGAAAUAUAAACUGGAAAGUAUUUACAAAAUCGGUUACCUUAUACAUGAUCUUAUUAGAUCAUGUGCCUCCUCUUUAUUUGUUCGGCCAUGCUCCUCUAGUGCACGCCUCUAUCAAUCCUUAUCAUAUACUUUCAGUAUUGAUAAGAUCCAUUCAAGGGUCGGACUCAUCAUCCCUUCCAUGGAACUCCCAUGAAACCACUUUGUUCACUGCAUCGACCUUUAAGGCUAUCUUUGCCUCUAAGAGUGGAGUCCGGCUUCCUCCCUUCUCCCCUAACCAUUUCCGUGUGUCCCCAGGCUGUAGAAGAAGCCUAUGACGUGAUCAUCCAUGAUCAUACACCAUCACAGGGUCGUGCAUCACUUCCCCCUUUAAUGGCCAUGGAACUGCCUUUCUACAUACAUCUGCCUUCAAGGCCGUCUAAACCAUUGGAAGUGGGAUCUGGCCUCCUAUGUUCUCUCCAGGCUAUUUGCGUGUGAUGUAUGAAUGUAGAGUAACCCAAGGCGUGGCAAACAAUAAUCAAAACACACCAGAGGGUCGUUUUCAACUCCCCUCUUGAUUGCCCUCCAAAACUGCUUCUUUGAUGCCUUUGAAUGCCUCUUGGUAUUGGAUUGUUGAAUCCAACCAUCUCUAUGUUUUUCUCUGGUUUUCUUUGUGUUUCAGGAUGUAGGAGGAAGCCCUGUCGUGCCUGCAAAGGCACGGACUUGCCUGCCUUUUAUAGAAGAAGGGGCAGUUACCUUUCCAAAGGUUGCACCCUUUCGGUAUCAUUUCUGGCCAUUGAUUUAAUCAAUGGUCCAGAUCACACCCUUUCGCCUCUGGCAGUUACCAGACGUCCUGGAACUGUCAAACCACUCUUGGACAUGUCCAAAAUAAUCCCACACGGAUUUCCCAUGCACCUGUCUCAAUCCCAAGAGCCCACCAGCCCAUCGGCACACACAUGGGUCGCCAACAUGGCCCGGCCACUAUCCGGACCCGGCCCAACUGCCCAAGACUUGAACACUCAGUCCAGCUGAGUUGAACUGAUCCCCAGCUGACCCAGCUGAGUGAGCUAGUCCAUCCAGCUCAGGGAGCUGACAAACUUUACUUGAGCUCCAACCGAGCUUCGUCCAGGUCGUUGAGCUUCUUGCUUGCAUCGCCUAGCUGCUAGACACUUUGUCCAGCUUGCUUUCUUCAUCUUAUUCAAUCCUUCUAAGUCCCUUGGUCUAUUUCCAGACCUAGACUUCGUUUUCCCAUGAUCCAUUCUGAUCAUUUACUAUAUCAUAGCUUCACCUUGAUGACUGAGCUUCACCCGGACCUCGUCUAGCUACCGAAACACUCGACCACUCCUUUGAGCUUGCCUCCGCCUUGUCUUGGCUAAGUCUCAGCUAUAUGUUUCAUUAACCAUUCUAAUGGACCAUGAUACGCUUGUCGUUUGGUCAUGUGACCUGACUGGUCUGUCUCCUCGCACCAAGGUAUGUCCGGACGAUCCUAUCCAGGAUCGGGGACAUGACACCCACGGACGUCCUGUGUGUGCUGACGGACACACACGGACACACACGGGCAGCCACAUACGUCCUGUGUGUGCUGACGGACAGCCACAGACAGCCACGGAUGUCCUAUGUGUGCUGGCGAACACCCACGGACAUCCUAUGUGUACUGAACAGACAGCCCACAUAGGCAAAAAUCCCCCGAACAGUCCACGGGAAGGGCCAGCGUGCUGAGUCAAAGAACCAGCGUGCUGAUAUGUGUACUGAUGAACAGCCACGGACGUCCUGUGUGUGCUGACGGACACACACAGACACACACGGAUACACACGAACAGCCACGGACGUCCUGUGUGUGCUGACAGACAGCGACGGACAGCCACAAACAGCCACGAACGUCCUGUGUGUGCUGGCAGACACCCACAGACGUCCCGUGUGUACUGAACAGACAGACCACGUGGGCCAAAAUCAACCAAACAGUCUACGGGAAGGGCCAGCGUGCUGAGUCCAAGGCCCAACGUGCUGAUAUGUGUACUGAUGGACAGCCAAGGACGUCAUGUGUGUGUGCUGACGGACACACACGGACAGCCACAAACGUCCUGUGUGUGCUGACGGACACACACGGACGUUCUGUGUGUGCUGACGGACACCCACGGACGUUCUGUGUGUGCUGAUGGACACACACGGACACACAAAGACACACACGGACACCCACUGACGUCCUGUGUGUGCUGACGGACAGCCACUGACGUCCUGUGUGUGCUGACGGACAGCCACGGAUGUCCUAUGUGUGCUGGCGGACACCCACGGACGUCCUGUGUGGACUGUACAGACAGCCCACGUGGGCAAAAAUCACACAAACAGUCCACGGGAAGGGCCAGCAUGCUGAGUCAAAGAACCAUCGUGCUGAUAUGUGUACUGAUGGACAGCCACGGACGUCAUGUGUGUGCUGACGAACACACACGGACACACACGGAUACACACGGACAUCCACAGACGUCUUGUGUGUGCUGACAGACAGCGACGGACAGCCACGGACGUCCUGUGUGUGCUGGCAGACACCCACAGACGUCCUGUGUGUACUGAACAAACAGCCCACGUGGGCCAAAAUCACCCAAACAGUCAACGGGAAGGGCCAGCGUGCUGAGUCCAAGGCCCAACUUGCUGAUCUGUGUACUGAUCGACAGCCACGGACGUCCUGUGUGUGUGCUGAUGGACACACACGGACGUCCUGUGUGUGUGCUAAUGGACACACACGGACAGCCACAGACGUCUUGUGUGUGCUGACGAACACACACGGGCGUCCUGUGUGUGCUGACGGACACCCACAGACGUCUUGUGUGUGCUGACGGACAGCCACAGACAGCCACGGAUGUCCUUUGUGUGCUGGAGGACACCCACGGACGUCCUGUGUGUACUGAACAGACAGUCCACGUGGGCCAAAAUCACCCAAACAGUCCACGGGAAGGGCCAGCGUGCUGAGUCCAAGGACCAACGUGCUGAUAUGUGUACUGAUGGACAGCCAUGGACGUCGUGUUUGUGCAGACGGACAAAGACGGAUCAACACGGACAGCCACUGACGUCUUAUGUGUGCUGGUGGACAGCCACAGACGUCCUGUGUGUACGGAACAGACAGCCCACGUGGGCCAAAAUCACCCGAAGAGUCCAUGGGAAGGGUCAGCGUGCUGAGUCCAAGGACAGCGUGUUGAUAUGUGUACUGAUGGACAGCCACAGACGUUCUAUGCUGACGGACACACACGUACAGCGACAGACGUCCUGUGUGUGCUGACAGACAGCCACGAACAGCCAGGGAUGUCCUGUGUGUGCUGGCGGACACCCACUGACGUCCUGUGUGUACUGAACAGACAGCCCACAUGGGCCAAAAUCACCUAAACAGUCCACGGGAAGGGACAGCAUGUUGAGUCCAAGGACCAGCGUUCUGAUAUGUGUACUGAUGGACAGCCACAGACGUCCUAUGUGUGCUGACGGACACACACGGACACACACGGAUACACACGGACAGCCACGGAAGUCCUGUGUGUGCUGACAGAAAGUCACGGACAGCCACGGACGUCCUGUGUGUGCUGGCAGACACCCACGGACGUCCUGUGUGUGCGGGCAGACACCCACGGACGUCCUGUGUGUACUGAACAGACAGCCCACAUGGGCCAAAAUCACCCAAACAGUCCACGGGAAGGGUUAGCGUGCUGAGUCCAAGGCCCAAUGUGCUGAUAUGUGUACUGAUGGACAGCCACUGUAACAUCCCGGAUCCUGAAUAGGAUCAUUGGGACGGCCAUGGUUCAAGGAAACGUACUAGUCAGUCUUAAGACAUCAAGGCAAGCGUUCCAUGGCCAGAUAAGAAGGUUAAGGACGUAAGAAACUUAGACUUAACCUUACACAAGUCAAGAGUCAGCUAGACCGAGCAGGACGGUAGCUGGACGAAUGGAACGGGUAGCUCAACCAGCUCAACGGAGUUAGGUUAAGCUCACUCCAGCUUGGACACUACAAGGUCAGCUCCACUAACUGGACUACUAGCUCACACAGCUGAGGCAGCUGGGGGUCAGCUCAUCUCAGCUGGACGGAAUGUUCGGGUUUCGGUACGAUGGUCCGGGUCCAGGCCGGUGGCAGGCCAUGGGGGUCUGGCCAUGAGGUCAUCGACCGUUGGGGCUUGGGACAAGGCCGUGGGCUAAGUCCAGAAGAGUUGGGUAAGGCUUUGGGCCUCUGUCCGACCCAAACCCAUGUGGUAUUGGCGAAGGGACGCAUGCGGCCGAGAGGGUGUAACCCUUGGCCGAUUGUGCCCCUCCACUGGCCAGUCAUGCCAGUUCAUGGGGCAAGACUUACCCCCUCGUUUUAUAUAAAUAUGGGGUCCUCUAUGUCGAUUUCACGAUUUCAUUCAUCCAAUCCAGAGUAGAAUACUCAGAGAAAUCGUAGAGAGAGAGAAAGAAAGAGAGAGAGAGUUUCCGGCCAAAGCAAGGCCGAUUGUGUGGUGGUUAGGUUUCCAGCGAUCUGAUUGUUUGUGAAGCAACCUCCAAUCAAGUAUGGGAGACCGAGAGCAGGAGAAGAGCGUGGAGAACCCGUACCUGGUUCAGAAGGUACGUGGUGGGCUUUGGCCGCACCAGUCCGAACGGAUGGUCCUUGUGACCGCACCGCGGCUUUGGACGGUUCAUUAGACCUGGCCGCUUCUCCUCUUCUUGUUUCUAUCCGGUCCUUUCUCUUCUUUCUGAUUAUGCACGAAGGGUUAUUGUUGGUUCAGUCCAAGGGACUCGUUCCUAGACUGGCCGGACAUAACCAAACCGCUAACCUAGACGCUGGUCGGUAAGACAGUCGGUUCGAAUCGCACCAUAGACUGGGCGGUUGGACUAAACGGUUGGGCAUGUCCCAAGAGGAUCGAGUGGCCAAAGGUCACGAGUUACCAACUAUUGUGAGUUGCCAAAGGGUGUAAGUAACCAAGGGUUACGAACGCCAAGUGGUAUGAGCACCAAGUGGUACGAGGACCAAGAGGUACCAAAGGCCGAAGGGGUGCGUGUACCAAGCGGUGCCUGUUGAGGCAGGUCGUGUCCGUUCCUUAGGGAUCAGGCCAUGUCUUGUUCGUUGAGACAAGUACACAGUCCGUCCAGGCCAGGGUAAGAGUCGCAAGGUCCGAGCGGCCAUUGGCCUGACCGGAUUGGGCGUGAGGCUUACUCAGCCGUUGGAUCCAGGCCCAAGGCCGGAUUAGGUAAGGAAGUCCGUUGGGCCAUUGAGCCGGACUUCAUCUAGGUCGGUCGCACCAAGAUUCUAUCCGGAUGGACGGAUUGGUCUUCGGGACGAUCCGGAUUGUUCGUGUGUUCUGUUUAUCUAUUCUAGGCUGUCUAUCUGAUUCUAAGUCAAAGGGUGGUUGGUUGAAUGACUUAGGAUUCGGUAGGCAGGUUCAUAUCUUUUUAUAAGUAUAUUGUCUGAGGUUUAUCAAUGUUCUAGGAACCAAGCCAAGCAUUGUAGGAUCAACCAGUCCUAUUCUCGGUUAUGAUUAAUGCUUACCUGGUUGUGGUUUCAGGAACUAAGGAUGGUCCUGGUCAAGCCAAGGAGCCGUGAAGGCUCGGUCAGUGAGAGGCUGUGUAACGUGUGGUUAGAUGAUGCUAAGGACGAACUAGUGAUUGUCUAUGAAACUGUUAAGAAGUUUUGUAUUGGAUCUCAUGUUUCUAAGUAAUACAAAGUUUACACAUUGUUAUUCCGCUGUUAUAUCUGUUCAAUUGAUUUAGAACCUCAGAUUCAAACAUGACUUAGUACAUGAAAGACUUAAAAAUGAAUCAAACAAGCAAAGAAAUUGAUUAAGUAGCAAACGGGUUCAGUCUUGUCGAGAGGCCGGAUUCGGAAGUUACAAGUUGGUAUCAGAGCAUGCUUGAUUCUAGGAUAGUUGGGUUAUAUAGUCCACACACACGCAGCCAGCUGAUUCAGUCUCACGGUGAGGUUUGAUAGUUAGGUCUAGGGAUUAAUUGUCUCGGUUAUGUUAUGUAUAUGUUGUACUAACAAUGUCGGAAUCCUUAGCCUGGGAAAAGCAAAUCGGGAAAGACCCAAAGGAGUAAGAAAGCAGCUGGUCCGUCAAGUCAAGCGGCUGCGGACAGAAUUAAUCUGUCCGGGUUACCAACCGAGCCGGCUGCAACUAACACCGGUGAUGUGUUACCGACUGACCAGGCCAAUCUUACAGGAACCCAACAAGAAGGUCAGCAACACCAGGAGAGCGGCGAUGAAGUGGAAUCCUCGAACGCUAACCGUGAUAGUGACCAGCGUGAGCAAAGGGCCGAGGGAACGGCCAACGUGCCUGCAGUACUGUCCCGUGAGGACUUGUUAGAGGCCAUGAAAGUAAUGGGUAAUCAGGUGGCGGUUAUGACUCAUCUGUUCACUCCACUAGUGAAUUCAUCAGUUGGUCAAGCUACACCUGUAGCUACGGCUACACCUAUUGCUAAGGGUCCAACUGUGGAUGCGGUUGAGGUGAUCGAGAUCGAUCCACCGGAAUGGUCUCUAAAGAAGGUUGACUAUCUGAGUUUGCUUGAACAUCUAUCAUGAUUGGGUACGAAGCAAUUCUCAGGCAGCACCGACCCGGUUGUGGAAGAUGAGUGGAGGAGUAGGCUAGUCCAAAACUUCCAAUCAACUCGCUAUCCAGAGGAUUACAGAUGAGACAUUGCGGCUCACUUCCUUGAAGGGGACACGCAUAAUUGGUGGCUUGCAGUGGACAAGCGCACCAAUGGAAGUCUCACAAGUUUUGCGGACCUUGAAAUUCAAUUCAACCGCAAAUACUUUCCUGCUGAGGCUUGGGAUCGUCUGGAAGCUAAGUCCCUAGAUUUGGUCCAAGGCCGCAGGACCGUACGGGAGUACGAAGAAGAGUUCAACCGACUCAGACGGUUUGUUGGAAGAGAGCUGGAGGACGAAGCAGUCCAGGUACGUAGGUUCAUCCGAGGCCUAAGGCCGGAACAGAAGACCCACUGCUCGAUCUGCAUUUUCAGCACCAUCGGAGAACUGGUGGAACGAGUGGCUUUGUCUGAGUCUAACUUGGCUGAGGAAGCUAAGCUUAAGGCUAAGCCACAGUCUGGCCCAUUGGGCAAGGCUAAUGAUAAAAAGAGAAAAUGGGACCAGGUGGACGGAGGUAAGACCUCUUGUGGCCGACCUGCGUGUUCUAAAUGUGGACGGAACCAUCCCGGUGAGUGCUGGAAGGCCAAGGGAGCUUGUGUUCGUUGUGGCAGCAUGGACCAUGGGGUUCAGAACUGUCCUCGACCGAACCAGAACCAGUCUGGGAGAAGUGGCUAGAUGACCUGUUUCCAUUGUGGCCAGCAAGGACAUUUCCAAUCGGAGUGUCCCAAGCUGCAAGGAAGUCAGCGGAAGGGCCGUGGAGAUUCAGGAAAGGCGUCCCAAGGCAAACCAACCACAACACCGAGAGUGUAUGAACUGUCACGAGAAGACGGAGCUUCCGGAUCCUUUGAUUCGAUCUCUGGUAAUUUCUAAAUUUAUCUUUUUACAUUCAAGUAGUAAUGCUUGGUCUGGAACCUAGAAUGUGGUCUAGGGGAUUCUGAUGGGGGUCUCUGAUAGGAACCCUCAUGGUCGGUGGGGUAAAAACCCACGUGCUUUUCGACACAGGGGCUACACAUAGUUUUGUGAGUCCGGAAUUGGUCGGAGAGGGUCUGUUAUGUCUGGAUGCUGGUGAUAAUUUUGGGAUAGUGAGGGCGGCCGGUGGGCAAGCCAUGAACUCACUAGGUCUCAUGUCAAAUAUCCCAGUACAGAUCGAGGGAAAGGUCUUCCUUGUGAAUCUGGUCUGUGUCCACCUAAAGAAUCAAAAAGUGAUCUUAGGUACGGAUUGGUUGGGAAAGUACCAAGCCACUCUCGAUUGCCAUAAGGGUCGUGUGCAAUUGGAGAAUGGACUUCACCCGGUAGAGUACCAAGGUCUGUGUCAGGCUCAAGAGAAAGUAGUGGUUUCAGCAGUUCCAGCGAUUCAGACGCUGGAACAGGGUUGUCAGUCAUUCUUGGCUACAAUUACAACUGUAGAGCCUAACAGUUCUGGUUUUCUGUUAGACCCACGCGGGGAUUCGUUGGUGUCCGAGUUCCAGGAUGUGUUUCAGUCGCUACAGGGUGUCCCCCCUGAUAGGUCCGAUCCUUUCCUGAUUGAACUGGAACCAGGGACAGCUCCGCUGUCCAAGGGUCCGUAUCGAAUGGCUCCGGCCGAGAUGGCCGAGCUGAAGAAGCAAUUGGAAGAAUUGCUUGACAAGGGGUUCAUACGGCCAAGUAGCUCCCCUUGGGGUGCACCAGUCCUUUUUGAGAAAAAGAAGGAUGGUAGCAUGCGUCUGUGCAUAGACUAUCGAGGGUUGAACAGGGUAACUGUGAAGAACAAGUAUCCGUUGCCCAGGAUAGACGAGCUGUUGGGUCAGCUGAAAGGAGCUAGUGGUUUUCAAAAAUCGAUUUGGCCUCGGGAUAUCAUCAGAUACCUAUAGAGCCAAAUGUGAAGAUGUAAGAUGUCCGCCCUGAAGUAGUCGCUGACGUAGUUGCUGAAGUAGACGUCAUAGUGAGUGGUGAAGACCAUGUGGAGUCAAGGUGCUGAGCUGGAGUCGUGUAGACUUGGAGAGCAAGGGAGUAUCUUGGAGAUAUGGAAAGAUGGAUGCAGCUCUGUUAGGAGUGAUCUUCAGGAAGAUCAAGAAGCAUCAAGCAUGGAGUCAGGACACGGAGUUGUCUGUGACACAAAGGGGAAGGAGAUCGAAGUGCGUUAGGAAGUAGUGCGAGAUGAUCUUCAGGGGUGUGAAAUCACUCCAAGACAAUAUCAAUGAGUGCAGAAGGCACUCGGUGCAGAUGGGGAAGGGCUCAUGGUCAAGGAGACGACACAUGAAGGAAGCCUGGUCCUCAACAGAAGUGGGUCGAGAGGUAGCUCGACAGGUGCGUCAGAUCGUGAUGCAGUACUUGUUAUUCCGCUGCAGCAGGGGCUGUGUCAUGAUUAUACAUGAAGAAACAGACGGUGGGUCUGUAACGCUUGACAUCUAAGCAUCUGUUUUAGCUUAGUAUGCAAUCAAGCAGGGGGAGAAUGGUGAUGUUCUGGUCCUUAGUAUGCAUAUCUCAUGGGGGAGAAAAGCAUGGUCUGGUGCACAUCUCGUGGGGGAGAAAAGCACAUUUGGUAUGGAAGUUUCCAGGUGAGGAACGUGGUUGCAACGUGGUUGCUAAACCAGAAGAUUGUUGUGCUUGAUCGGCACACAAAGCUAAAAGGGGGAGAUUGAAGAUGUAAGAUGUCCGGCCUGACAUAGUUGCUGAAGCAGACGUCGUAGUGAAUGGUGAAGACCAUGUGGAGUCAAGAUGCUGAGCUGGAGUCGUGUAGACUUGGAGAGCAAGGGAGUAUCUUGGAGAUAUGGAAAGAGGAAUAAACUUGAGGAGCAAGUUUAUGACUUAAAGAAAGAGGAAUAAGUGCAUUCCAAGAAAAGGAAAGUUGCACUUAUUGUUAUGGAAGAUGUCCAUACAUGUUGCCUUGGAGACUAGGGUUUCAAGAACGUGGAGAAUAACUAUAAGAUAACUAUGGGGUCGUCUGUAUAGAGACAGACACACGGAGGCUGAUCUUAUAUAGAGAGAGAAGCUCUUGGAGGUGUUCUUGGGUCGUGCUGAAGCAGUGGCUGAAGUACUUGACGGAGAAGAGAUAUAAGUGGGUAGCUUAGGAAUCUUUCAGUAGCGUGUGUUAGGGUGUUAACACUGACGUGUAAAAGCUGAAUAAGCAAGUCUUGUAAAGAUUGUUUAAAGGAGAUUCUAAUAAAAGCUUUGGUGUGCUUGUGUGAUUUGUCUCUUUGAUUUACCUUCUGCAUUACCUAUUGUUGUGUCAUCUUGCACUAACAAGUGGUAUCAGAGCGGGGCACCUAAGUUAUCGGUGUAAUCCUGAAGGUGAAGAUCGACACGAUUAUUUCUAUGCAGAAGGAAAUCGUGUUGAAUGCGGACCAGUAUGGUCAUUGGAAGGCUUGCAUGAAGCAGAUGAUUCGAGGAAUCAAUGAAGAUGCGUGGACAGCUGUGGAGAUUGGUUGGGAGGAGCCUACCAUAGUCACAGUAGGUGAGAAGAAGCCUAAGCCAAAAGAGGAUUGGUCAGAGGCAGAACACAAUGCAUCAAAAUUUAAUGCAAAGGCAUUGUCGGUGAUUUUUGGAGCUGUUGAAGCAGAGCAGUUUCAGCUGAUUCAGGGGAGUACUUUGGCUAAAGAGGCGUGGGAGAUCCUGCUGAAUUCAUUUGAAGGAGAUGAGAGUGUCAAGAGGACACGUCUAGAUCAUCUUGGGUCGCAGUUUAAGAAUCUCAGGUGGUCUGAUAAUGAUUCUGUGGCGAGUUUUAGUGCCAAACUCAGUGGUAUGGCGCAUGAAGCAUUUGUACUUGGGAAGAAGUACAAGGAGAAGAAGCUGGUAAAGAAGUUACUACGCUGUCUUCAAACGAAGUUUAGAGCUCACAAGGCGGUCUUACAGAUGACUACAAACACGGAUGAGCUCAAGUUUGACAAGCUUGUGGGUAUGCUGAAGGCACAAGAGAUGGAGACAGACAGUAGUUCAGUCUCUACGUCAGGUGGUGCAUCAAGGAGUAUAGCUCUUGCUGCUGAUAAAGAUGGAGAUAGAUCUCCAAAUGUUGAAGAUGCCAUGGGGAUGUUGGCUAGGAAUCUGAGUAAGAUGAUGAAUUCCUCUGGUGAGAGGAAUCUGUAUGGUCGUCAGGGAGGUGAUCGUGGCAAUAGCAGAAGAAGAGAACGUCUUAAAUGUUAUGAGUGUGAAGGUGUUGGUCAUAUAAAGGCUGACUGUCCUAUAGCACAACGAAGAGAACUUAAGUGUUCUGAGUGCAGAUGUGUUGGACACACACGGCGUGAAUGUCCAAACUCAAAGAAGGAGAAAGGAGUUCCAUUGCAGUCGUCUGAUGAUUCAGAGUCUGAAGAAGAUGGAAAGGUGAUGAAGAAUAUGGUUGCAUUUGGUGCACGCAGGGAGAAAUCCAUUGAAUCCUCGGAUUCAGAAGUCAGUACAGACUUUGAGGAUUAUCAAGUAAUGCACAACAAGUGGUUGAAUCUCAAGAAUCAGAAUCUGAGGUUGCAACAUGAUUUGGUGCAGAGCCGUGAACAGUAUGAUGAUCUUGCUGAAGAACUUGCUGCUGUAAAUGAGAAUUAUGAGUCUCUGGAGAAGGAGGUUAGCAAACUGAGAGAGGUUGCUACUGAUGAACGUGAGAGAGCAAUGAGGCUGGAACGUGAUUUGGCUGAGAAUCGCAAACAGAUCAGGAUGCUCAACAGUGGAUGCAAAGAGUUGGAUAAGAUACUCUCGAUGGGUCAACCAGCCAAGGCGAAGUGGGGCCUAGGAAAUCGAGGAGCUGAGAGUACUAAGGAAGUACAACAUAAGGGGUUGCCACGUUUCGUGCAUGGGAGCACAUCAGAAAAUGGAGCCAAAGGAGCUUGUCAGGAAUUACGUCGGGACAUACGACAGGGAGUAAGGCAGGAAGUUCUGCAGCGCGUAGCUGUGAGUAACAAGCCAAAAGUAGUACAUCAGUGCAAUAACAUGAAGGUCAGACAGGAGGUUCUGAAGCAUGGUUAUGCAGCUGGUACAAGGAAGGAGACUGAUCGGUGCAUCAGCAACUGUGUCAGGCCAAGCAAGAAGCAGCAUCGAAUGUGCUGUUGGUUCUGUGGGAAGGUUGUACACAAGAAGGUGGAGUGUUUUGCUCGUGAGAAGAGCAGAAACAUGGUCAAGAAGGUGAACAAGACGUUCACUAGGCCUAGGAGGGUUGAAAAGGUGUCUUUAGCCAAGAGUGGCUUACUUGAUGAGAUCAAGGAUGAGACAUCAGAAGAUGGAUGCAGCUCUGUUAGGAGUGAUCUUCAGGAAGAUCAAGAAGCAUCAAGCAUGGAGUCAGGACACGGAGUUGUCUGUGACACAAAGGGGAAGGAGAUCGAAGUGCGUUAGGAAGUAGUGCGAGAUGAUCUUCAGGGGUGUGAAAUCACUCCAAGACAAUAUCAAUGAGUGCAGAGGGCACUCGGUGCAGAUGGGGAAGGGCUCAUGGUCAAGGAGACAACACAUGAAGGAAGCCUGGUCCUGAACAGAAGUGGGUCGAGAGGUAGCUCGACAGGUGCGUCAGAUCGUGAUGCAGUACUUGUUAUUCCGCUGCAGCAGGGGCUGUGUCAUGAUUAUACAUGAAGAAACAGACGGUGGGUCUGUAACGCUUGACAUCUAAGCAUCUGUUUUAGCUUAGUAUGCAAUCAAGCAGGGGGAGAAUGGUGAUGUUCUGGUCCUUAGUAUGCAUAUCUCAUGGGGGAGAAAAGCAUGGUCUGGUGCACAUCUCGUGGGGGAGAAAAGCACAUUUGGUAUGGAAGUUUCCAGGGGAGGAACGUGGUUGCAACGUGGUUGCUAAACCAGAAGAUUGUUGUGCUUGAUCGGCACACAAAGCUAAAAGGGGGAGAUUGAAGAUGUAAGAUGUCCGGCCUGACAUAGUUGCUGAAGCAGACGUCGUAGUGAAUGGUGAAGACCAUGUGGAGUCAAGAUGCUGAGCUGGAGUCGUGUAGACUUGGAGAGCAAGGGAGUAUCUUGGAGAUAUGGAAAGAGGAAUAAACUUGAGGAGCAAGUUUAUGACUUAAAGAAAGAGGAAUAAGUGCAUUCCAAGAAAAGGAAAGUUGCACUUAUUGUUAUGGAAGAUGUCCAUACAUGUUGCCUUGGAGACUAGGGUUUCAAGAACGUGGAGAAUAACUAUAAGAUAGCUAUGGGUCUGUAUAGAGAUUGAGACACGGAGGCUGAUCUUAUAGAGAGAGAAGCUCUUGGAGGUGUUCUUGGGUCAUGCUGAAGUAGUGGCUGAAGUACUUGACGGAGAAGAGACAUAAGUGGGUAGCUUAGGAAUCUUUCAGUAGCGUGUGUUAGGGUGUUAACAUUGAUGUGUAAAAGCUGAAUAAGCAAGUCUUGUAAAGAUUGUUUAAAGGAGAUUCUAAUAAAAGCUUUGGUGUGCUUGUGUGAUUUGUCUCUUUGAUUUACCUUCUGCAUUACCUAUUGUUGUGUCAUCUUGCACUAACAAAAUGACAUUAGGAAAACAACAUUUAGGACCAGGUACGGCCAUUACGAAUUUGUAGUGAUGUCGUUCGGUCUGACCAAUGCACCUGCUGCAUUCAUUAAAAUGAUGAACAGCGUGUUUCGGGACUUCUUGGAUGAAUCAGUGAUCAUCUUCAUUGAUGAUAUCCUGAUUUACUCCAAGGAUGAGGAAUCUCAUUGGAAACAUUUGAGAGCCGUGCUGGAACGAUUACGAGAGCACAAACUCUUUGCUAAACUCAGCAAGUGCAGUUUUUGGCAAAAGAGUAUUGGGUUCCUCGGUCAUAUUGUCUCUGACCAGGGCGUCUCAGUGGAUCCAGAGAAGAUCAAGGCAAUCAAGGAUUGGCCUCGACCACGUAGUGCCACGGAAGUUAGAAGCUUCCUAGGGCUGGCAGGUUACUAUAGAAAGUUUGUGAAGGGAUUCACAAGCUUAGCUCAGCCGAUGACCCGGUUGACUGGGAAGGACGUUAAGUUCACAUGGUCUGACGAGUGUACGAGAUGUUUCUCUGCACUUAAGGAUAUGUUAACUAGUGCACCCGUCCUGGUUCUCCCGGAGGCAGACCAACCUUAUGUGGUCUACACGGAUGCGUCCAUCACUGGACUCGGUUGCAUGUUGACCCAACAUGGGAAGGUCAUUGCUUACGCGUCAAGGCAGCUGAAAAAACAUGAGGGAAAGUACCCCACCCAUGACCUUGAAAUGGUUGCGGUAGUGUUCGCCUUAAAGAUUUGGCGAUCAUAUUUAUAUGGGGCCAAAGUCCAGAUACUUACGGACCAUAAAAGUCUGAAGUAUAUAUUCACCCAGCCUGAGUUGAACUUAAGGCAGAGGAGGUGGAUGGAAUUCGUGGCCGGCUACGACCUAGACAACACUUACUAUCCAGGCAAGGCCAACCUUAUGGCUGACGCCUUGAGCCGGAAACGAGAAGAUGUUGCGGCUGGUAGCGGAACGGACGAGCCGGAUGAGGAGGGAUGUUUCGUCCGUUUAAAUGUUUUGAACGGGACGGACGGACCACAGGGUUUAGAGGCGGUGAAUAGAGCCGACCUGCUUACCCGGAUCCGAGCGACCCAAGAUCAGGACAAGAACCUGAAGACGGUUGCUCGGAACGACCUGACUGAGUAUCAAAUCGCCAAGGACGGUACGAUCUUAGUUCAUGGUCGGAUCAGCGUACCCAAUGAUAGGAGUUUAAAGGACAAGAUCCUUAGAGAAGCUCACAAAUCUAGAUUCUCGAUCCAUCCUGGAGUGACCAAGAUGUAUCAUAAUCUCAGACAGUACUAUCAUUGGAUACAGAUGAAGGUCGAUGUGGCCGAAUGAGUGGCCAAAUGUCCUACUUGUCAACUCGUCAGGGCCGAACAACAAGUUCCGAGUGGACUGCUUCAGAGCCUACAUAUUCCGGAAUGGAAGUGGGAUCACAUCACAAUGGACUUCGUGACAGGAUUUCCCACGACCAGGAAUAGGAAUGAUGCUGUCUGGGUAAUAGUGGAUCGACUAACCAAGUCUGCCCACUUCCUGGCCAUCAAAAAGACUGAUGGAGUCGACCGGAUUGUGAGUAAGUACAUUGACGAGAUUGUGAGGCUACACAGAGUACGCUCAAGUAUAGUUUCGGAUAGAGAUUCGAGGUUCACAUCUCACUCUGGCAAGCUUUUCAAAAAGCUUUAGGAAAAAGAGUGAACAUGAGUACGGCUUAUCAUCCCCAAACGGAUGGGCAGUCGGAAAGAACUAUACGGACGCUGGAGGACAUGCUUCGAGCAUGUGUUCUGGAUUGGGAUGAUUCCUGGGAACGGCAUUUGCCAUUAGUGGAGUUCGCCUACAAUAACAGCUUCCACUCAAGUAUAGGCAUGUCGCCAUACGAAGCUGUGUAUGAACGACCAUGCAGGACACCGUUAUGCUGGACCCAAGUGGGGGAACGUAGCAUGAUAGGCCCCAAGAUCGUGGAGGAAACCACAGAGAAGAUCAAGUCCGUGCGGGACAAGAUGAGGGCCGCACAGGAUAGACAAAAGCACUACGCUGACAAACGAAGGAAAGAACUGGAGUUUGCAGUGGGUGAUAUGGUCUAUCUCAAAAUGAUUACCUUUAAAGGUAGAGUGCGAAUUUCUGGUAGAAGGAAAUUGGAUCCAAGAUACCUAGGGCCGUUCAGUGUCAUAGAACGAGUGGGUAGUGUGGCAUACAAGUUGGACUUACCAUCUGAGAUGGAAGCCUUUCAUAAUGUAUUCCAUAUCUCCCAACUCCGGAAGUGCUUGACGGAUAAGGACAUCUUAAUACCAGAAAUACCAUCUGAUCUAGGUACGAACCUAACUUUGGAAACAAGGCCGGUUCGGAUCGUAGAUAGGAUGGAAAAACCAAUGAGAAAGAAAACAAUCCAGAUGGUCAAGGUCAUUUGGGAUUGUAAUGGUCGAGAAGAGACCACUUGGGAGACGGAGGCCAGGAUGAAGGCCGAGUUUCCAAAUUGGUUCGACCAGUUUGUGUUGGAUGAAACACAUGACUCGGAUUCGAGGACGAAUCCAUUGCUAGUGGUGGAGACUUGAAACAUCCCGGAUCCUGAAUAGGAUCAUUGGGACGGCCUUGGUUCGAGGAAACGUACUAGUCAGUCUUAAGACAUCAAGGCAAGCGUUCCAUGGCCGGAUAAGAAGGUUAAGGACGUAAGAAACUUAGACUUAACCUUACACAAGUCGAGAGUCAGCUAGACCGAGCAGGACGGUAGCUGGAAGAAUGGAACGGGUAGCUCAACCAGCUCAACGGAGUUAGGUUAAGCUCACUCCAGCUCGAACACUACAAGGUCAGCUCCACUAGCUGGACUACUAGCUCACUCAGCUGAGGCAGCUGGGGGUCAGCUUAUCUCAGCUGGACGGACUGUUCGGGUUUCGGUCCGAUGGUCCGGGUCCGGGCCGGUGGCAGGCCAUGGGGGUCUGGCCAUGAGGUCAUGGACCGUUGGGGCUUGGGACAAGGCCGUGGGCUAAGUCCAGAAGAUUUGGGUAAGGCUUUGGGCCUCUGUCCGAUCCAAACCCAUGCGGUAUUGGCGAAGGGACGCAUGCGGCCGAGAGGGUAUAACCCUUGGCCGAUUGUGCUCAUCCGCUGGCCAGUCAUGCCUGUUCGUGGGGCAAGACUUACCCCCUCGUUUUCUAUAAAUAUGGGGUCCUCUCUGUCGAUUUCAUUCAUCCAAUCCAGAGUAGAAUACUCAGAGAAAUCGUAGAGAGAGAGAAAGAAAGAGAGAGAGAGUGUCCGGCCAAAGCAAGGCCGAUUGUGCGGUAAUUAGGUUUCCGGCGAUCUGAUCGUUUGUGAAGCAACCUCCGAUCAAGUAUGGGAGACCGAGAGCAGGAGAAGAGCGUGGAGAACCCUGACCUGGUUGAGAAGGUACGUGGUGGGCUUUGGCCGCACCAGUCCGAAUGGACGGUCCUUGUGACCGCACCGCGGCUCUGGACGAUUCAUUAGACCCGGCCGCUUCUCCUCUUCUUGUUUCUAUCCGGUCCUUUCUCUUUUUUCUGAUUAUGCACGAAGGGUUGUGUUGGUUCAGUCCAAGGGACGCGUUCCUAGACUGGCCGGACAUAACCAAACCGCUAACCUAGAUGCUGGUCGAUUAGACGGUCGGUUCGAAUCGCACCAUAGACUGGGCGGUUGGACUAAACGGUUGGGCAUGUCCCAAGAGGCACGAGUGGCCAAAUGUCACGAGUUACCAACGGUUGUGAGUUGCCAAAGGGUGUAAGUAACCAAGGGUUACGAACGCCAAGUGGUACGAGCACCAAGUUGUACGAGGACCAAGAGGUACUAACGGCCAAAGGGGUGCGUGUACCAAGUGGUUCCUGUUGAGGCAGGUCAUGUCCGUUCCUUAGGGAUCAGACCAUGUUUUGUCCGUUGAGACAAGUACACGGUCCGUCCAGGCCAGGGUAAGAGUCGCAAGGUCCGAGCGGCCAUUGGCCUGACCGGAUUGUGCGUGAUGCUUACUCGGCCGUUGGAUCCAGGCCCAAGGCUGGAUAAGGUAAGGAAGUCCGUUGGGCCAUUGAGCCAGACUUAAUCUAGGCCGGUCGCACCUAGAUUCUAUCCGGAUGGACGGAUUGGUCUUCGGGACGAUCCGGAUUGUUCGUGUGUUCUGUUUAUCUAUUCUAGGUUGUCUAUCUGAUUCUAAGUCAAGGGGUGGUUGGUUGAAUGACUUAGGAUUCGGUAGGCAGGUUCAUAUCUUUUUAUAAGUAUAUUGUGGUUACCUGGUUGUGGUUUCAGGAACUAAGGAUGGUUCUGGUCAAGCCAAGGAGCCGUGAAGGCUCGGUCAGUGAGAGGCUGUGUAACGUGUGGUUAGAUGAUGCUAGGGACGAACUAGUGAUUGUCUAUGAAACUGUUAAGAAGUUGUGUAUUGGAUCUCAUGUUUCUAAGUAAUACAAAGUUUACACAUUGUUAUUCCGCUGUUCUAUCUGUUCAAUUGAUUUAGAACCUCAGAUUUGAACAUGACUUAGUAAAUGAAAGAAAUUGAUUAUGUAGCAAACGGGUUCAGUCUUGUCGAGAGGCCAGAUUCGGGCAUUACAGCCACGGACGUCCUGUGUGUGCUGACGGACACACACGGACAGCCACAGACGUCCUGUGUGUGCUGACGGACACACACGGACGUCCUGUGUGUGCUGACGGACACCCACGGACGUCAUGUGUGUGCUGACGGACACACACGGACAGCCACGGACGUCUUGUGUGUGCUGACGGACAGCCACAGACAGCCACAGAUGUCCUAUGUGUGCUGGCGGACACCCACGGACGUCCUCUGUGUACCGAACAAACAGCCCAUAUAGGCAAAAAUCACCCGAACAGUCCACGGGAAGUGAUAGACCGCGGUCCACGGAUCAGUACAUGGAGCCAAACCAGCAUGAAGUACAGGACGUUCUGAAGUUUUCAACCGAGGUUCAUCAUUUUCACCAUACUGGCCAGACUGACCGGACUGUCCCAAAUGCAUCCGGAUGUGAGCUUUGGCUGGAACCAUGGCCAGGUGAUCGAUUUCAUUGUACUGGACUUUGUCUUCAUCGUCCUGUUUUCCAUUUGAUGAAGAACAGUCGAGACGGAAUCGCAUUCGGACGCACGGAUCCUGAGUUAGGUCAUUCCUAUACAUUUCUGGACAGUACCACAUGUACCGCCCGGAUGUCCAGUUUGAGGCUUCAUCAAUACCCAUGUCCAGACGAUCGAAUUCACCGAACUGGAGCUCGUAUUUCCCGUACUGAUUGGCAUUUUAAGAGCAACGGUCGAGACAGAUUUGGAUUCGGACGAGUGGAAUUCAAGAUAAGCCGUGACACUUCAAAACUGGCUACUUUGGACUGUCCUGCUUGUGUACUGGCCCAGUCCGCAGGACAUGCUUCAGGAAGCAAUGAACCUGGACGGAAUUUGAAGGGUUUUUAACUAGUCAAAGUGUGAUUUCGUGCCUUGACCAGAUCUGGUCAAUUUUAUCAUUUUCUAUUUUUAGAUUUACCACAUUUUUCUUUAAGUCUUUUGACUAGAACUUCUAUAUAAUGUAACCAUCAGAUCUGAAUAAGAUAAUUUUCGUUUUGCUUUCAUUCUUUUAAGUUUUUACUCUCUUUGUUCUUUGUUAGAACAUUUCUUAGUUUUUUGGUGAGGUUAUCUCCAAGUUUCGAUCCUUCUUUUGUUGGACCGGUGCGUCACAUCCGGCAACGAUCGAAGUCUGGUAGUAUCAUUGGGUCAUCCGCAACCCUUUGUGUCACCGUUCAUACCAUCAGUUCUCUUUCCUUACGGAUCGAUUUCAUAUCUUUCCAAUCCGGUUGAGUGUUCGUUCCUUAGGGUUCUUCAAGUGGUUUCAGAGCCACUCUUCCGGUAUUGUCUAUUUCAUUCAUCUUUCUCAUCUUCCAUUUUCUUAUAAAAACUUUUUCUUCUACCUUUCUUAAAUCCAGACCCCUCAUUACCAUCCACCAUAUCAAAAAAAAAAAGAUCUAAUAAAAAAAAAAAAGAAAGAAAGAUCCACAUAAAAAAAAAAAAUAGAAAUCGAAAGUUUCAUUUGGGGAUUGGUGGUGGAAGAGAAAGCCUGCUGGCUGAGUAGAAAUCCAGCCUUUGAGGUGGUUAAAACGGAUUUAAAAAAAUCAAAAAUCUCUUAUCUAUCUAUCUUGAGAAAAUUCCCUUGUUAGCUUGGAUUUGCCCAUUGGGAUUCUUUGAUUUGUUCUCUGAGAACAUUGAGUAGAAACUUGUGUGGGUGAGGAUCAAACACUUGAGAGUGUGAGGUUUUUAUCUACUAACUUUUGUGUUGAGAUUUUUCAGGUUUAUGAUGUUUGGUCUCCAAAGGAAAAGUAACAAGGAGAAGCACCCACGACUUUCUGUCUCUCAAACCUCCUUUAAAUAUGCUUUGAAUACUUUUGAUGAGUUUGUUGAUGUGCAGAAAAAACCAAUUUGGUGGAGCAAAGAGCAUGUCAAUACCUCCAAAGAUGUGGCUGAUCCAAAAAGGCAACAUUUUCAGUUUGAUGUCCAACAAUUUUGUGAUAACUUUGUGAAGGGUGUGGACAAAACCCUCAAGGACGUCAGCAAGAGCCAAAAGAAGAGCACAUCCAUACGUGCCCAAGUAGCUGAGCCAUCCUUUUCCAUCAGUAAGAAAACCCAAGGUGAAUCUGAAAACUGUUUUGAAGAAUUUAAAGAUUUUUCAGAUUCUUCACCUAUAUUUGAUGAAACUGAUGAAGAACCAAUUGAAAGUUUGAUGUCUUGUGAAGAAAGUUGUGACCUUCCUUAUCUUGAAUCUGAGUUUAUAAAUGAUAAUGAACAGGCUAAUGUAGAACUAACUAUUUUGCAACCGGAGCAUCCGAGUAGCCUUGUUUUGUCUCAACAGGUUUUUGAGGAAGAGCCACUGGAUAUUCAACAUCAGUGCCCAUGUCUUGACAUUUGGACAUCUUUGGAUGAAGUCCCAGAACCUAUCUUUGAUGAGGAGGACGAACCUGAUCCAGUCUUUGAUGAAGAAGCAACAAGCAUCAUAUCCACCUUUAUGGAGAGCCAUCUUUGCUUUGAUUCCGGCACAACUACUGCUCCUUCAUCUCCUGCCCCUUUGCUUCAUGAUCUUCAAGAGCACUGUCAGGAACCUUCUUCUCUUAGUUCUCUGCCUGACAUGGUUGUGAAAGUCAGUACUGAUGAUGUAACUCGUUUUAGUCUUGAACUUUUGAUAAAUGAUUCUCAAACUGAACUUCAGCUUGUGUGUUCAGAUGUUGGGAAGGAUAUGCCCAUUUUGAAAAUGAAUACUGUUGUUGCAUAUCUUGAUAAAAUUAUUGUCUGUAAUAUUUACUUUGAUGAGCACCCUGAAAGGCUGAAAAAUGUGCAAUUUGUUCUUGGAAAAGAUAUCUUGAUUUGUGAUUUGAACAAAUAUUUAUCUUGCACAUUUGAUCCUGGUCUUUUAGUGUUUGUUUUGAGUAUCCACGAAAGACAGGUUCAGCCUCUGAAUGAAAGAAUUGGCCGUGCCCAACAACCUCAGAUUUGGAGAAGCUUUGUUGUUCAAACCGGCUACCUUGGUGCCAGCGACAGAGGUUCAGUCCAAGAAGGAUAUCUCAACAGUCCGAAUGUAUUUUGUCUUGAAUCAAAUUUUACAAGAAAGACAACUCAUCAAGGAUUCACUGAGGCUUGGAAACGCAUGAAAAGCUUCACGGAUGAAGAAGUUAUGAAUUUUCCAAACCGGAGGUUCUUCAGUCCAUCUAUCCGCGAGUACCAGAUUUCUAAAGGAGAUUCAUGCCCCAGAAAGAAUCGACCUGAGCCAAAACCGAUCCUCCAUGAACCAAAGGUGUUUCCUCGGUCAUUCUCCUGUCUAAACCAAAAGCACUUUGCUUUGAAUAAACAGGAUAAGCAUGAUCAGUUUCUAAGGAGAUCAAGCACCAAUGGACCCCAAAGUACUUGGAAUUCCUUGAUAAAAAUGACUUCAAAACUCCAAGGAAGUUUCUGUCCAUUAUAUUCAUUUACUGAAUUUCCCUUGAAUUUUAAUUCCUUUGUAUCUGACUUAUCUCUUUUUGAUAUAAGUACAUUGGAUUUGAGGACAAAUCCUUUUGAAGAAAGAGGGAAUGAUAGACCGUGGUCCACGGAUCAGUACAUGGAGCCGAACCAGCAUGAAGUUCAGGACGUUCUGAAGUUUUCAACCGAGGUUCAUCAUUUUCACCAUACUGGCCAGACUGACCGGACUGUCCCAAAUGCAUCCGGAUGUGAGCUUUGGCUGGAACCAUGGCCAGAUGAUCGAUUUCAUUGUACUGGACUUUGUCUUCAUCGUCCUGUUUUCCAUUUGAUGAAGAACAGUCGAGACGAAAUCGCAUUCGGACGCACGGAUCCUGAGUUAGGUCAUUGCUAUACAUUUCUGGACAGUACCACAUGUACCGCCCGGAUGUCCAGUUUGAGGCUUCAUCAAUACCCAUGUCCAGACGAUCGAAUUCACCGAACUGGAGCUCGUAUUUCCCGUACUGAUUGGCAUUUUAAGAGCAACGGUCGAGACAGAUUUGGAUUCGGACGAGUGGAACUCAAGAUAGGCCGUGACACUUCAAAACUGGCUACUUUGGACUGUCCUGCUUGUGUACUGGCCCAGUCCGCAGGACAUGCUUCAGGAAGCAAUGAACCUGGACGGAAUUUGAAGGGUUUUUAACUAGUCAAAGUGUGAUUUCGUGUCUUGACCAGAUCUGGUCAAUUUUAUCAUUUUCUAUGUUUAGAUUUACCACAUUUUUCUUUAAGUCUUUUGACUAGAACUUCUAUAUAAUGUAACCAUCAGAUCUGAAUAAGAUAAUUUUCGUUUUGCUUUCAUUCUUUUGAGUUUUUACUCUCUUUGUUCUUUGUUAGAACAUUUCUUAGUUUUUUGGUGAGGUUAUCUCCAAGUUUCGAUCCUUCUUUUGUUGGACCGGUGCGUCACAUCCGGCAACGAUCGAAGUCUGGUAGUAUCGUUGGGUCAUCCGCAACCCUUUGUGUCACCGUUCAUACCAUCAGUUCUCUUUCCUUACGGAUCGAGUUCAUAUCUUUCCAAUCCGGUUGAGUGUUCGUUCCUUAGGGUUCUUCAAGUGGUAUCAGAGCCACUCUUCCGGUAUUGUCUAUUUCAUUCUUCUUUCUCAUCUUCCAUUUUCUUAUAAAAACUUCUUCUUCUACCUUUCUUAAAUCCGGGCCCCUCAUUACCAUCCACCAUAUCAAAAAAAAAAAAGAUCUAAUCAAAAAAAAAAAAAAAAGAAAGAUCCACAUAAAAAAAAAAAAUAGAAAUCGAAAGUUUCAUUUGGGGAUUGGUGAUGGAAGAGAAAGCCUGCUGGCUGAGUAGAAAUCCAGCCUUUGAGGUGGUUAAAACGGAUUUAAAAAAAUCAAAAAUCUCUUAUCUAUCUAUCUUGAGAAAAUUCCCUUGUUAGCUUGGAUUUGCCCAUUGGGAUUCUUUGAUUUGUUCUCUCAGAACAUUGAGUAGAAACUUGUGUGUGAUCACCUAAAUCUGAGGUUUUUAUCUACUAAUUUUUGUGUUGAGAUUUUUCAGGUUUAUGAUGUUUGGUCUCCAAAGGAAAAGUAACAAGGAGAAGCACCCACGACUUUUUGUCUCUCAAACCUCCUUUAAAUAUGCUUUGAAUACUUUUGAUGAGAUUGUUGAUGUGCAGCAAAAACCAAUUUGGUGGAGCAAAGAGCAUGUCAAUACCUCCAAAGAUGUGGCUGAUCCAAAAAGGCAACAUUUUCAGUUUGAUGUCCAACAAUUUUGUGAUAACUUUGUGAAGGGUGUGGACAAAGCCCUCAAGGACGUCAGCAAGAGCCAAAAGAAGAGCACAUCCACACGUGCCCAAGUAGCUGAGCCAUCCUUUUCCAUCAGUAAGAAAACCCAAGGUGAAUCUGAAAACUGUUUUGAAGAAUUUAAAGAUUUUUCAGAUUCUUCACCUAUAUUUGAUGAAACUGAUGAAGAACCAAUUGAAAGUUUGAUGUCUUGUGAAGAAAGUUGUGACCUUCCUUAUCUUGAAUCUGAGUUUAUAAAUGAUAAUGAACAGGCUAAUGUAGAACUAACUAUUUUGCAACCGGAGCAUCCGAGUAGCCUUGUUUUGUCUCAACAGGUUUUUGAGGAAGAGCCACUGGAUAUUCCACAUCAGUGCCCAUGUCUUGACAUUUGGACAUCUUUGGAUGAAGUCCCAGAACCUAUCUUUGAUGAGGAGGACGAACCUGAUCCAGUCUUUGAUGAAGAAGCAACAAGCAUCAUAUCCACCUUUAUGGAGAGCCAUCUUUGCUUUGAUUCCGGCACAACUACUGCUCCUUCAUCUCCUGCCCCUUUGCUUCAUGAUCUUCAAGAGCACUGUGAGGAACCUUCUUCUCUUAGUUCUCUGCCUGACAUGGUUGUGAAAGUCAGUACUGAUGAUGUAACUCGUUUUAGUCUUGACAAGAUGAAAGAUUUUUGUGUUUCAAAAUCUGUUUUUGAUAACAUGAUUAAUUCUUUAAAAAUCUUUGAACCUGAUAAAUGUCUUGAUCAAUCACGUUUUCAAAAUGUCAAUGGCAUUACUUCUGGAAUUAUUUUGAGCUCUGAUCAGUUCUUGGAACAUAACAAAGGUUUUCAUCUUCUUGGAAGGCCUUUGAUCUUGAUUUGCAACAAACUGAUUUUUGUGCUGAAAAAUCUCUUGAUUCGUUAGUUUGCAAAGGAAAUAGCUUUGAUCUGAGUUCUUCUAGACAUGUACUGAUCACUGAUGAAUUGUUUGCAUCCUCUUAUGCCUUGGACGAAAUUUUGAUUCAGAAGUUGUUGGAACAGAAAUCACUUGAAACUGAAAAUGAUUUUCGUGAUCUUGAAUUUUGUGGUUCUGUUUUGCAGCCUGAUCUCUUGAGUUUUGAAACUGAUAAUACUUGGCAUUUUCUGAGAUCAUUUCGUGAUAAUGGUGUUGUCUUGAGUUCUGAUGAUAUUUUGGUUUACAACACAUUCUUUGAGAAAUGCCUUGAACUUUUGAUAAAUGAUUCUCAAACUGAACUUCAGCUUGUGUGUUCAGAUGUUGGGAAGGAUAUGCCCAUUUUGAAAAUGAAUACUGUUGUUGCAUAUCUUGAUAAAAUUAUUGUCUGUAAUAUUUACUUUGAUGAGCACCCUGAAAGGCUGAAAAAUGUGCAAUUUGUUCUUGGAAAAGAUAUCUUGAUUUGUGAUUUGAACAAAUAUUUAUCUUGCACAUUUGAUCCUGGUCUUUUAGUGUUUGUUUUGAGUAUCCAGGAAAGACAGGUUCAGCCUCUGAAUGAAAGAAUUGGCCGUGCCCAACAACCUCAGAUUUGGAGAAGCUUUGUUGUUCAAACCGGCUACCUUGGUGCCAGGGACAGAGGUUCAGUCCAAGAAGGAUAUCUCAACAGUCCGAAGGUAUUUUGUCUUGAAUCCAAUUUUACAAGAAAGCCAACUCAUCAAGGAUUCACUGAGGCUUGGAAACGCAUGAAAAGCUUCACGGAUGAAGAAGUUAUGAAUUUUCCAAACCGGAGGUUCUUCAGUCCAUCUAUCCGCGAGUACCAGAUUUCUAAAGGAGAUUCAUGCCCCAGAAAGAAUCGACCUGAGCCAAAACCGAUCCUCCAUGAACCAAAGGUGUUUCCUCGGUCAUUCUCCUGUCUAAACCAAAAGCACUUUGCUUUGAAUAAACAGGAUAACCAUGAUCAGUUUCUAAGGAGAGGAAGCACCAAUGGACCCCAAAGUACUUGGAAUUCCUUGAUAAAAAUGACUUCAAAACUCCAAGGAAGUUUCUGUCCAUUAUAUUCAUUUACUGAAUUUUCCUUGAAUUUUAAUUCCUUUGUAACUGAUUUAUCUCUUUUUGAUAUAAGUACAUUGGAUUUGAGGACAAAUCCUUUUGAAGAAAGAGGGAAUGAUAGACCGCGGUCCACGGAUCAGUACAUGGAGCCGAACCAGCAUGAAGUUCAGGACGUUCUGAAGUUUUCAACUGAGGUUCAUCAUUUUCACCAUACUGGCCAGACUGACCGGACUGUCCCAAAUGCAUCCGGAUGUGAGCUUUGGCUGGAACCAUGGCCAGAUGAUCGAUUUCAUUGUACUGGACUUUGUCUUCAUCGUCCUGUUUUCCAUUUGAUGAAGAACAGUCGAGACGAAAUCGCAUUCGGACGCACGGAUCCUGAGUUAGGUCAUUGCUAUACAUUUCUGGACAGUACCACAUGUACCGCCCGGAUGUCCAGUUUGAGGCUUCAUCAAUACCCAUGUCCAGACGAUCGAAUUCACCGAACUGGAGCUCGUAUUUCCCGUACUGAUUGGCAUUUUAAGAGCAACGGUCGAGACAGAUUUGGAUUCGGACGAGUGGAACUCAAGAUAGGCCGUGACACUUCAAAACUGGCUACUUUGGACUGUCCUGCUUGUGUACUGGCCCAGUCCGCAGGACAUGCUUCAGGAAGCAAUGAACCUGGACGGAAUUUGAAGGGUUUUUAACUAGUCAAAGUGUGAUUUCGUGUCUUGACCAGAUCUGGUCAAUUUUAUCAUUUUCUAUGUUUAGAUUUACCACAUUUUUCUUUAAGUCUUUUGACUAGAACUUCUAUAUAAUGUAACCAUCAGAUCUGAAUAAGAUAAUUUUCGUUUUGCUUUCAUUCUUUUGAGUUUUUACUCUCUUUGUUCUUUGUUAGAACAUUUCUUAGUUUUUUGGUGAGGUUAUCUCCAAGUUUCGAUCCUUCUUUUGUUGGACCGGUGCGUCACAUCCGGCAACGAUCGAAGUCUGGUAGUAUCAUUGGGUCAUCCGCAACCCUUUGUGUCACCGUUCAUACCAUCAGUUCUCUUUCCUUACGGAUCGAGUUCAUAUCUUUCCAAUCCGGUUGAGUGUUCGUUCCUUAGGGUUCUUCAAGUGGUAUCAGAGCCACUCUUCCGGUAUUGUCUAUUUCAUUCUUCUUUCUCAUCUUCCAUUUUCUUAUAAAAACUUCUUCUUCUACCUUUCUUAAAUCCGGGCCCCUCAUUACCAUCCACCAUAUCAAAAAAAAAAAGAUCUAAUCAAAAAAAAAAAAAAAGAAAGAUCCACAUAAAAAAAAAAAAUAGAAAUCGAAAGUUUCAUUUGGGGAUUGGUGGUGGAAGAGAAAGCCUGCUGGCUGAGUAGAAAUCCAGCCUUUGAGGUGGUUAAAACGGAUUUAAAAAAAUCAAAAAUCUCUUAUCUAUCUAUCUUGAGAAAAUUCCCUUGUUAGCUUGGAUUUGCCCAUUGGGAUUCUUUGAUUUGUUCUCUCAGAACAUUGAGUAGAAACUUGUGUGUGAUCACCUAAAUCUGAGGUUUUUAUCUACUAAUUUUUGUGUUGAGAUUUUUCAGGUUUAUGAUGUUUGGUCUCCAAAGGAAAAGUAACAAGGAGAAGCACCCACGACUUUUUGUCUCUCAAACCUCCUUUAAAUAUGCUUUGAAUACUUUUGAUGAGAUUGUUGAUGUGCAGCAAAAACCAAUUUGGUGGAGCAAAGAGCAUGUCAAUACCUCCAAAGAUGUGGCUGAUCCAAAAAGGCAACAUUUUCAGUUUGAUGUCCAACAAUUUUGUGAUAACUUUGUGAAGGGUGUGGACAAAGCCCUCAAGGACGUCAGCAAGAGCCAAAAGAAGAGCACAUCCACACGUGCCCAAGUAGCUGAGCCAUCCUUUUCCAUCAGUAAGAAAACCCAAGGUGAAUCUGAAAACUGUUUUGAAGAAUUUAAAGAUUUUUCAGAUUCUUCACCUAUAUUUGAUGAAACUGAUGAAGAACCAAUUGAAAGUUUGAUGUCUUGUGAAGAAAGUUGUGACCUUCCUUAUCUUGAAUCUGAGUUUAUAAAUGAUAAUGAACAGGCUAAUGUAGAACUAACUAUUUUGCAACCGGAGCAUCCGAGUAGCCUUGUUUUGUCUCAACAGGUUUUUGAGGAAGAGCCACUGGAUAUUCCACAUCAGUGCCCAUGUCUUGACAUUUGGACAUCUUUGGAUGAAGUCCCAGAACCUAUCUUUGAUGAGGAGGACGAACCUGAUCCAGUCUUUGAUGAAGAAGCAACAAGCAUCAUAUCCACCUUUAUGGAGAGCCAUCUUUGCUUUGAUUCCGGCACAACUACUGCUCCUUCAUCUCCUGCCCCUUUGCUUCAUGAUCUUCAAGAGCACUGUGAGGAACCUUCUUCUCUUAAUUCUCUGCCUGACAUGGUUGUGAAAGUCAGUACUGAUGAUGUAACUCGUUUUAGUCUUGACAAGAUGAAAGAUUUUUGUGUUUCAAAAUCUGUUUUUGAUAACAUGAUUAAUUCUUUAAAAAUCUUUGAACCUGAUAAAUGUCUUGAUCAAUCACGUUUUCAAAAUGUCAAUGGCAUUACUUCUGGAAUUAUUUUGAGCUCUGAUCAGUUCUUGGAACAUAACAAAGGUUUUCAUCUUCUUGGAAGGCCAUUUGAUCUUGAUUUGCAACAAACUGAUUUUUGUGCUGAAAAAUCUCUUGAUUCGUUAGUUUGCAAAGGAAAUAGCUUUGAUCUGAGUUCUUCUAGACAUGUACUGAUCACUGAUGAAUUGUUUGCAUCCUCUUAUGCCUUGGACGAAAUUUUGAUUCAGAAGUUGUUGGAACAGAAAUCACUUGAAACUGAAAAUGAUUUUCGUGAUCUUGAAUUUUGUGGUUCUGUUUUGCAGCCUGAUCUCUUGAGUUUUGAAACUGAUAAUACUUGGCAUUUUCUGAGAUCAUUUCGUGAUAAUGGUGUUGUCUUGAGUUCUGAUGAUAUUUUGGUUUACAACACAUUCUUUGAGAAAUGCCUUGAACUUUUGAUAAAUGAUUCUCAAACUGAACUUCAGCUUGUGUGUUCAGAUGUUGGGAAGGAUAUGCCCAUUUUGAAAAUGAAUACUGUUGUUGCAUAUCUUGAUAAAAUUAUUGUCUGUAAUAUUUACUUUGAUGAGCACCUUGAAAGGCUGAAAAAUGUGCAAUUUGUUCUUGGAAAAGAUAUCUUGAUUUGUGAUUUGAACAAAUAUUUAUCUUGCACAUUUGAUCCUGGUCUUUUAGUGUUUGUUUUGAGUAUCCAGGAAAGACAGGUUCAGCCUCUGAAUGAAAGAAUUGGCCGUGCCCAACAACCUCAGAUUUGGAGAAGCUUUGUUGUUCAAACCGGCUACCUUGGUGCCAGCGACAGAGGUUCAGUCCAAGAAGGAUAUCUCAACAGUCCGAAGGUAUUUUGUCUUGAAUCCAAUUUUACAAGAAAGACAACUCAUCAAGGAUUCACUGAGGCUUGGAAACGCAUGAAAAGCUUCACGGAUGAAGAAGUUAUGAAUUUUCCAAACCGGAGGUUCUUCAGUCCAUCUAUCCGCGAGUACCAGAUUUCUAAAGGAGAUUCAUGCCCCAGAAAGAAUCGACCUGAGCCAAAACCGAUCCUCCAUGAACCAAAGGUGUUUCCUCGGUCAUUCUCCUGUCUAAACCAAAAGCACUUUGCUUUGAAUAAACAGGAUAAGCAUGAUCAGUUUCUAAGGAGAGCAAGCACCAAUGGACCCCAAAGUACUUGGAAUUCCUUGAUAAAAAUGACUUCAAAACUCCAAGGAAGUUUCUGUCCAUUAUAUUCAUUUACUAAUUUCCCUUGAAUUUUAAUUCCUUUGUAUCUGAUUUAUCUCUUUUUGAUAUAGGUACAUUGGAUUUGAGGACAAAUCCUUUUGAAGAAAGAGGGAAUGAUAGACCGCGGUCCACGGAUCAGUACAUGGAGCCGAACCAGCAUGAAGUUCAGGACGUUCUGAAGUUUUCAACCGAGGUUCAUGAUUUUCACCAUACUGGCCAGACUGACCGGACUGUCCCAAAUGCAUCCGGAUGUAAGCUUUGGCUGGAACCAUGGCCAGAUGAUCGAUUUCACUGUACUGGACUUUGUCUUCAUCGUCCUGUUUUCCAUUUGAUGAAGAACAGUCGAGACGGAAUCGCAUUCGGACGCACGGAUCCUGAGUUAGGUCAUUGCUAUACAUUUCUGGACAGUACCACAUGUACCGCCCGGAUGUCCAGUUUGAGGCUUCAUCAAUACCCAUGUCCAGACGAUCGAAUUCACCGAACUGGAGCUCGUAUUUCCCGUACUGAUUGGCAUUUUAAGAGCAACGGUCGAGACAGAUUUGGAUUCGGACGAGUGGAACUCAAGAUAGGCCGUGACACUUCAAAACUGGCUACUUUGGACUGUCCUGCUUGUGUACUGGCCCAGUCCGCAGGACAUGCUUCAGGAAGCAAUGAACCUGGACGGAAUUUGAAGGGUUUUUAACUAGUCAAAGUGUGAUUUCGUGUCUUGACCAGAUCUGGUCAAUUUUAUCAUUUUCUAUGUUUAGAUUUACCACAUUUUUCUUUAAGUCUUUUGACUAGAACUUCUAUAUAAUGUAACCAUCAGAUCUGAAUAAGAUAAUUUUCGUUUUGCUUUCAUUCUUUUGAGUUUUUACUCUCUUUGUUCUUUGUUAGAACAUUUCUUAGUUUUUUGGUGAGGUUAUCUCCAAGUUUCGAUCCUUCUUUUGUUGGACCGGUGCGUCACAUCCGGCAACGAUCGAAGUCUGGUAGUAUCAUUGGGUCAUCCGCAACCCUUUGUGUCACCGUUCAUACCAUCAGUUCUCUUUCCUUACGGAUCGAGUUCAUAUCUUUCCAAUCCGGUUGAGUGUUCGUUCCUUAGGGUUCUUCAAGUGGUAUCAGAGCCACUCUUCCGGUAUUGUCUAUUUCAUUCUUCUUUCUCAUCUUCCAUUUUCUUAUAAAAACUUCUUCUUCUACCUUUCUUAAAUCCGGGCCCCUCAUUACCAUCCACCAUAUCAAAAAAAAAAAGAUCUAAUCAAAAAAAAAAAAAAAGAAAGAUCCACAUAAAAAAAAAAAAUAGAAAUCGAAAGUUUCAUUUGGGGAUUGGUGGUGGAAGAGAAAGCCUGCUGGCUGAGUAGAAAUCCAGCCUUUGAGGUGGUUAAAACGGAUUUAAAAAAAUCAAAAAUCUCUUAUCUAUCUAUCUUGAGAAAAUUCCCUUGUUAGCUUGGAUUUGCCCAUUGGGAUUCUUUGAUUUGUUCUCUCAGAACAUUGAGUAGAAACUUGUGUGUGAUCACCUAAAUCUGAGGUUUUUAUCUACUAAUUUUUGUGUUGAGAUUUUUCAGGUUUAUGAUGUUUGGUCUCCAAAGGAAAAGUAACAAGGAGAAGCACCCACGACUUUUGUCUCUCAAACCUCCUUUAAAUAUGCUUUGAAUACUUUUGAUGAGUUUGUUGAUGUGCAGAAAAAACCAAUUUGGUGGAGCAAAGAGCAUGUCAAUACCUCCAAAGAUGUGGCUGAUCCAAAAAGGCAACAUUUUCAGUUUGAUGUCCAACAAUUUUGUGAUAACUUUGUGAAGGGUGUGGACAAAGCCCUCAAGGACGUCAGCAAGAGCCAAAAGAAGAGCACAUCCACACGUGCCCAAGUAGCUGAGCCAUCCUUUUCCAUCAGUAAGAAAACCCAAGGUGAAUCUGAAAACUGUUUUGAAGAAUUUAAAGAUUUUUCAGAUUCUUCACCUAUAUUUGAUGAAACUGAUGAAGAACCAAUUGAAAGUUUGAUGUCUUGUGAAGAAAGUUGUGACCUUCCUUAUCUUGAAUCUGAGUUUAUAAAUGAUAAUGAACAGGCUAAUGUAGAACUAACUAUUUUGCAACCGGAGCAUCCGAGUAGCCUUGUUUUGUCUCAACAGGUUUUUGAGGAAGAGCCACUGGAUAUUCCACAUCAGUGCCCAUGUCUUGACAUUUGGACAUCUUUGGAUGAAGUCCCAGAACCUAUCUUUGAUGAGGAGGACGAACCUGAUCCAGUCUUUGAUGAAGAAGCAACAAGCAUCAUAUCCACCUUUAUGGAGAGCCAUCUUUGCUUUGAUUCCGGCACAACUACUGCUCCUUCAUCUCCUGCCCCUUUGCUUCAUGAUCUUCAAGAGCACUGUGAGGAACCUUCUUCUCUUAAUUCUCUGCCUGAAAUGGUUGUGAAAGUCAGUACUGAUGAUGUAACUCGUUUUAGUCUUGACAAGAUGAAAGAUUUUUGUGUUUCAAAAUCUGUUUUUGAUAACAUGAUUAAUUCUUUAAAAAUCUUUGAACCUGAUAAAUGUCUUGAUCAAUCACGUUUUCAAAAUGUCAAUGGCAUUACUUCUGGAAUUAUUUUGAGCUCUGAUCAGUUCUUGGAACAUAACAAAGGUUUUCAUCUUCUUGGAAGGCCAUUUGAUCUUGAUUUGCAACAAACUGAUUUUUGUGCUGAAAAAUCUCUUGAUUCGUUAGUUUGCAAAGGAAAUAGCUUUGAUCUGAGUUCUUCUAGACAUGUACUGAUCACUGAUGAAUUGUUUGCAUCCUCUUAUGCCUUGGACGAAAUUUUGAUUCAGAAGUUGUUGGAACAGAAAUCACUUGAAACUGAAAAUGAUUUUCGUGAUCUUGAAUUUUGUGGUUCUGUUUUGCAGCCUGAUCUCUUGAGUUUUGAAACUGAUAAUACUUGGCAUUUUCUGAGAUCAUUUCGUGAUAAUGGUGUUGUCUUGAGUUCUGAUGAUAUUUUGGUUUACAACACAUUCUUUGAGAAAUGCCUUGAACUUUUGAUAAAUGAUUCUCAAACUGAACUUCAGCUUGUGUGUUCAGAUGUUGGGAAGGAUAUGCCCAUUUUGAAAAUGAAUACUGUUGUUGCAUAUCUUGAUAAAAUUAUUGUCUGUAAUAUUUACUUUGAUGAGCACCUUGAAAGGCUGAAAAAUGUGCAAUUUGUUCUUGGAAAAGAUAUCUUGAUUUGUGAUUUGAACAAAUAUUUAUCUUGCACAUUUGAUCCUGGUCUUUUAGUGUUUGUUUUGAGUAUCCAGGAAAGACAGGUUCAGCCUCUGAAUGAAAGAAUUGGCCGUGCCCAACAACCUCAGAUUUGGAGAAGCUUUGUUGUUCAAACCGGCUACCUUGGUGCCAGCGACAGAGGUUCAGUCCAAGAAGGAUAUCUCAACAGUCCGAAGGUAUUUUGUCUUGAAUCCAACUUUACAAGAAAGACAACUCAUCAAGGAUUCACUGAGGCUUGGAAACGCAUGAAAAGCUUCACGGAUGAAGAAGUUAUGAAUUUUCCAAACCGGAGGUUCUUCAGUCCAUCUAUCCGCGAGUACCAGAUUUCUAAAGGAGAUUCAUGCCCCAGAAAGAAUCGACCUGAGCCAAAACCGAUCCUCCAUGAACCAAAGGUGUUUCCUCGGUCAUUCUCCUGUCUAAACCAAAAGCACUUUGCUUUGAAUAAACAGGAUAAGCAUGAUCAGUUUCUAAGGAGAGCAAGCACCAAUGGACCCCAAAGUACUUGGAAUUCCUUGAUAAAAAUGACUUCAAAACUCCAAGGAAGUUUCUGUCCAUUAUAUUCAUUUACUUAAUUUCCCUUGAAUUUUAAUUCCUUUGUAUCUGAUUUAUCUCUUUUUGAUAUAGGUACAUUGGAUUUGAGGACAAAUCCUUUUGAAGAAAGAGGGAAUGAUAGACCGCGGUCCACGGAUCAGUACAUGGAGCCGAACCAGCAUGAAGUUCAGGAUGUUCUGAAGUUUUCAACCGAGGUUCAUGAUUUUCACCAUACUGGCCAGACUGACCGGACUGUCCCAAAUGCAUCCGGAUGUAAGCUUUGGCUGGAACCAUGGCCAGAUGAUCGAUUUCACUGUACUGGACUUUGUCUUCAUCGUCCUGUUUUCCAUUUGAUGAAGAACAGUCGAGACGGAAUCGCAUUCGGACGCACGGAUCCUGAGUUAGGUCAUUGCUAUACAUUUCUGGACAGUACCACAUGUACCGCCCGGAUGUCCAGUUUGAGGUUUCAUCAAUACCCAUGUCCAGACGAUCGAAUUCACCGAACUGGAGCUCGUAUUUCCCGUACUGAUUGGCAUUUUAAGAGCAACGGUCGAGACAGAUUUGGAUUCGGACGAGUGGAACUCAAGAUAGGCCGUGACACUUCAAAACUGGCUACUUUGGACUGUCCUGCUUGUGUACUGGCCCAGUCCGCAGGACAUGCUUCAGGAAGCAAUGAACCUGGACGGAAUUUGAAGGGUUUUUAACUAGUCAAAGUGUGAUUUCGUGUCUUGACCAGAUCUGGUCAAUUUUAUCAUUUUCUAUGUUUAGAUUUACCACAUUUUUCUUUAAGUCUUUUGACUAGAACUUCUAUAUAAUGUAACCAUCAGAUCUGAAUAAGAUAAUUUUCGUUUUGCUUUCAUUCUUUUGAGUUUUUACUCUCUUUGUUCUUUGUUAGAACAUUUCUUAGUUUUUUGGUGAGGUUAUCUCCAAGUUUCGAUCCUUCUUUUGUUGGACCGGUGCGUCACAUCCGGCAACGAUCGAAGUCUGGUAGUAUCAUUGGGUCAUCCGCAACCCUUUGUGUCACCGUUCAUACCAUCAGUUCUCUUUCCUUACGGAUCGAGUUCAUAUCUUUCCAAUCCGGUUGAGUGUUCGUUCCUUAGGGUUCAUCAAGUGGUAUCAGAGCCACUCUUCCGGUAUUGUCUAUUUCAUUCUUCUUUCUCAUCUUCCAUUUUCUUAUAAAAACUUCUUCUUCUACCUUUCUUAAAUCCGGGCCCCUCAUUACCAUCCACCAUAUCAAAAAAAAAAGAUCUAAUCAAAAAAAGAAAAGAAAGAAAGAUCCACAUAAAAAAAAAAAAUAGAAAUCGAAAGUUUCAUUUGGGGAUUGGUGGUGGAAGAGAAAGCCUGCUGGCUGAGUAGAAAUCCAGCCUUUGAGGUGGUUAAAACGGAUUUAAAAAAAUCAAAAAUCUCUUAUCUAUCUAUCUUGAGAAAAUUCCCUUGUUAGCUUGGAUUUGCCCAUUGGGAUUCUUUGAUUUGUUCUCUCAGAACAUUGAGUAGAAACUUGUGUGUGAUCACCUAAAUCUGAGGUUUUUAUCUACUAAUUUUUGUGUUGAGAUUUUUCAGGUUUAUGAUGUUUGGUCUCCAAAGGAAAAGUAACAAGGAGAAGCACCCACGACUUUCUGUCUCUCAAACCUCCUUUAAAUAUGCUUUGAAUACUUUUGAUGAGUUUGUUGAUGUGCAGAAAAAAACAAUUUGGUGGAGCAAAGAGCAUGUCAAUACCUCCAAAGAUGUGGCUGAUCCAAAAAUGCAACAUUUUCAGUUUGAUGUCCAACAAUUUUGUGAUAACUUUGUGAAGGGUGUGGACAAAGCCCUCAAGGACGUCAGCAAGAGCCAAAAGAAGAGCACAUCCACACGUGCCCAAGUAGCUGAGCCAUCCUUUUCCAUCAGUAAGAAAACCCAAGGUGAAUCUGAAAACUGUUUUGAAGAAUUUAAAGAUUUUUCAGAUUCUUCACCUAUAUUUGAUGAAACUGAUGAAGAACCAAUUGAAAGUUUGAUGUCUUGUGAAGAAAGUUGUGACCUUCCUUAUCUUGAAUCUGAGUUUAUAAAUGAUAAUGAACAGGCUAAUGUAGAACUAACUAUUUUGCAACCGGAGCAUCCGAGUAGCCUUGUUUUGUCUCAACAGGUUUUUGAGGAAGAGCCACUGGAUAUUCCACAUCAGUGCCCAUGUCUUGACAUUUGGACAUCUUUGGAUGAAGUCCCAGAACCUAUCUUUGAUGAGGAGGACGAACCUGAUCCAGUCUUUGAUGAAGAAGCAACAAGCAUCAUAUCCACCUUUAUGGAGAGCCAUCUUUGCUUUGAUUCCGGCACAACUACUGCUCCUUCAUCUCCUGCCCCUUUGCUUCAUGAUCUUCAAGAGCACUGUGAGGAACCUUCUUCUCUUAAUUCUCUGCCUGAAAUGGUUGUGAACGUCAGUACUGAUGAUGUAACUCGUUUUAGUCUUGACAAGAUGAAAGAUUUUUGUGUUUCAAAAUCUGUUUUUGAUAACAUGAUUAAUUCUUUAAAAAUCUUUGAACCUGAUAAAUGUCUUGAUCAAUCACGUUUUCAAAAUGUCAAUGGCAUUACUUCUGGAAUUAUUUUGAGCUCUGAUCAGUUCUUGGAACAUAACAAAGGUUUUCAUCUUCUUGGAAGGCCAUUUGAUCUUGAUUUGCAACAAACUGAUUUUUGUGCUGAAAAAUCUCUUGAUUCGUUAGUUUGCAAAGGAAAUAGCUUUGAUCUGAGUUCUUCUAGACAUGUACUGAUCACUGAUGAAUUGUUUGCAUCCUCUUAUGCCUUGGACGAAAUUUUGAUUCAGAAGUUGUUGGAACAGAAAUCACUUGAAACUGAAAAUGAUUUUCGUGAUCUUGAAUUUUGUGGUUCUGUUUUGCAGCCUGAUCUCUUGAGUUUUGAAACUGAUAAUACUUGGCAUUUUCUGAGAUCAUUUCGUGAUAAUGGUGUUGUCUUGAGUUCUGAUGAUAUUUUGGUUUACAACACAUUCUUUGAGAAAUGCCUUGAACUUUUGAUAAAUGAUUCUCAAACUGAACUUCAGCUUGUGUGUUCAGAUGUUGGGAAGGAUAUGCCCAUUUUGAAAAUGAAUACUGUUGUUGCAUAUCUUGAUAAAAUUAUUGUCUGUAAUAUUUACUUUGAUGAGCACCUUGAAAGGCUGAAAAAUGUGCAAUUUGUUCUUGGAAAAGAUAUCUUGAUUUGUGAUUUGAACAAAUAUUUAUCUUGCACAUUUGAUCCUGGUCUUUUAGUGUUUGUUUUGAGUAUCCAGGAAAGACAGGUUCAGCCUCUGAAUGAAAGAAUUGGCCGUGCCCAACAACCUCAGAUUUGGAGAAGCUUUGUUGUUCAAACCGGCUACCUUGGUGCCAGCGACAGAGGUUCAGUCCAAGAAGGAUAUCUCAACAGUCCGAAGGUAUUUUGUCUUGAAUCCAACUUUACAAGAAAGACAACUCAUCAAGGAUUCACUGAGGCUUGGAAACGCAUGAAAAGCUUCACGGAUGAAGAAGUUAUGAAUUUUCCAAACCGGAGGUUCUUCAGUCCAUCUAUCCGCGAGUACCAGAUUUCUAAAGGAGAUUCAUGCCCCAGAAAGAAUCGACCUGAGCCAAAACCGAUCCUCCAUGAACCAAAGGUGUUUCCUCGGUCAUUCUCCUGUCUAAACCAAAAGCACUUUGCUUUGAAUAAACAGGAUAAGCAUGAUCAGUUUCUAAGGAGAGCAAGCACCAAUGGACCCCAAAGUACUUGGAAUUCCUUGAUAAAAAUGACUUCAAAACUCCAAGGAAGUUUCUGUCCAUUAUAUUCAUUUACUUAAUUUCCCUUGAAUUUUAAUUCCUUUGUAUCUGAUUUAUCUCUUUUUGAUAUAGGUACAUUGGAUUUGAGGACAAAUCCUUUUGAAGAAAGAGGGAAUGAUAGACCGCGGUCCACGGAUCAGUACAUGGAGCCGAACCAGCAUGAAGUUCAGGAUGUUCUGAAGUUUUCAACCGAGGUUCAUGAUUUUCACCAUACUGGCCAGACUGACCGGACUGUCCCAAAUGCAUCCGGAUGUAAGCUUUGGCUGGAACCAUGGCCAGAUGAUCGAUUUCACUGUACUGGACUUUGUCUUCAUCGUCCUGUUUUCCAUUUGAUGAAGAACAGUCGAGACGGAAUCGCAUUCGGACGCACGGAUCCUGAGUUAGGUCAUUGCUAUACAUUUCUGGACAGUACCACAUGUACCGCCCGGAUGUCCAGUUUGAGGUUUCAUCAAUACCCAUGUCCAGACGAUCGAAUUCACCAAACUGGAGCUCGUAUUUCCCGUACUGAUUGGCAUUUUAAGAGCAACGGUCGAGACAGAUUUGGAUUCGGACGAGUGGAACUCAAGAUAGGCCGUGACACUUCAAAACUGGCUACUUUGGACUGUCCUGCUUGUGUACUGGCCCAGUCCGCAGGACAUGCUUCAGGAAGCAAUGAACCUGGACGAUAUUUGAAGGGUUUUAAACUAGUCAAAGUGUGAUUUCGUACCUUGACCAGAUCUGGUCAAUUUUAUCAUUUUCUAUGUUUAGAUUUACCACAUUUUUCUUUAAGUCUUUUGACUAGAACUUCUAUAUAAUGUAACCAUCAGAUCUGAAUAAGAUAAUUUUCGUUUUGCUUUCAUUCUUUUGAGGUUUUACUCUCUUUGUUCUUUGUUAGAACAUUUCUUAGUUUUUUGGUGAGGUUAUCUCCAAGUUUCGAUCCUUCUUUUGUUGGACCGGUGCGUCACAUCCGGCAACGAUCGAAGUCUGGUAGUAUCAUUGGGUCAUCCGCAACCCUUUGUGUCACCGUUCAUACCAUCAGUUCUCUUUCCUUACGGAUCGAGUUCAUAUCUUUCCAAUCCGGUUGAGUGUUCGUUCCUUAGGGUUCAUCAGGAAGGGCCAGCGUGCUGAGUCAAAGAACCAGCGUGCUGAUAUGUGUACUGAUGGACAGCCACGGACGUCCUGUUUGUGCUGACGGACACACACGGACAGCCAUGGACGUCCUGUGUGUGCUGACGGACACGCAUGGAUACACACGGACAGCCAUGGACGUCCUGUGUGUGCUGACAGACAGCGACGGACAGCCACGGACGUCCUGUGUGUGCUGGCAGCCACCCACAGACGUCCUGUGUGUACUGAACAGACAGCCCACGUGGGCCAA
rnacentral:lncRNA from 1 species